rnacentral:lncRNA from 1 species
AUGGUUGAAAAUGAUUAAACCAUAAGAUAAAAGAGCUUUUAUUCAAAAUGCAAAAAUCAACAAAAUAUUAAUUAUCGCUCAACUUAGCAUAAUUAAACAUUUAGGUGUGAAAAUCAAAUCACAAUUUGAGUAGCUAAACAUAUCGCUUGAAAAUGUGAUAAGUAAGAAACUUGCCCACAUUUGAGUAGCGACAGGUGGUGAUGCAUUUCCCAACGAGAGAAAACCAAGCUCUUUGCCAGUAUGGAUUUAUGUAGAGGACAACAAAAAUUGUCAACAACACAACUACAUAAGAAACCAAAAAGCUCACACAAAAAUCACCUAUCAAACCAUCUUCUCCUUUAUCUUCUGAUACAGUUAAUAUCGUUGAUGGCGAAUCGAUUUUGGAACAACUUUUAUGCAAUAUAGCUCCACAAAGAAAAGGAUUUCCCUCAUAACUGUUUUCAAUAAAGGUCCCAAAUUGAGCUUUUUCGGGAAUACUACCUGACAAGUUGUUGUAUGCCACGCUGAAAACCUCCAAAGAGUUCAACUCUACCAACUGAUUGGGGAUUUCACCACUCAAAUUGUUGUAAGAAAGGUCCAAACUCUCAAUUUGAUGUAGUUUUGCGAAUGACGAGGGUAUAACUCCUGUCAACUUAUUGUGCGACAAGUUUAAAGAAUGGAUUUCACUUAAGUUCCCUAAUUCUGGUGGGAUAUGACCAGUUAAGUUGUUGCAAGAUAAAUCAAUCCCGGUCAUAUAUGAAAGGAUGUUGCCCUCGUACAAAAAGAUCCCACUCUUUGUUGUGAACUCUAUUACUUCUUCUAAGUAGCUGUCAGGAUAGGAAGAAUCUAUUCCCAAAUUUAGUAUCAUACUGCGUGUUGUUUCAUCCUCUUCUAUAGGCCCAUAGAACUCAGUGUCUAGAAUCUUCUUCGUUUGCAUUAGAAGAGAUAAAUUUCCCAAGCAAGAAGGUAUAGGACCAGAAAACAUAUUUUGAGAAAGAUCUAUGAUGCUUAAAGAAUGCAACUUGCAUAACUCAACAGGAACUUUACCAUGAAAAUGAUUAUCUUUCAAGAGAAGAACACUCAAAGAAGAAAGCGUGUAAAUCCAUUUUGGAAUACUACCUGUCAAAUUGUUUCCUCUAAGAUCUAAACUCACUAUUGAAGAGCUAUUAUAAAAAGCAAGCGACAGUGGGCCUCUCAGUCUAUUCCCGUGGAUGUGGACAUGCUCUAUGUAUGGUGGAUUAAAACAUGACGGUAUAGAGCCAGAUAAAUUAUUCUGAGAAAGAUCCAAAAAUUCCAACCUAUUCAACUUGCAAAAUUCCAUUGGAAUAGAACCUUCAAAACCAUUAUUAGACAAAUCUAAUCUCCACAAAAAUGAUGCAUUCCCUAUCCAUCUUGGGAGCUUUCCAUGCAACUUGUUGUUACUGAGAUCAAUUUGGCUUAGUGAAUAUGGAAACUCAAAAGUAGAGGCAUUAACAUUUGUCAUCUCUCCUGAAAAAUUAUUUCCAUCCAAAUAUAAAUUCUCCACCCCAUUCGCGCUGAGAAUCACAGGAACUACAUUUCCACUGAAGUUGUUAUUUGAUAGUUUCAAAAUGAUCAGUGAGCCUUUCGUGAUCAACUCUUCUGGUACUUUUCCAUACAAUUGAUUGUUUGAUAGAUCUAAAAAUGAUAAGUACUUCAUGCCACUUAAACAAAGUGGGAUAUUACCUUCAAAAGCAUUCUUGGAUAAGAGUAACCGCCUCAAAUGUGGAAAAGUUGAACAUAUACCAGUCGGAAUUUGACCUUGUAAUUUGUUUUCAGAUAUGUCAAUUGAAGAUACAUUAGAAAUAAGAGCUGACGAACGUGAGAGAGGACCUGUAAAUGAAUUACCCUUCAAGAUGAGUUCUUCUAACUUUGUGUUGUUUUCUAGCAACCAAGUUGGUAAAGUUCCACUGAGAUUGUUAUGAGAAAGAUCCACAUAUCUCAAGUCAUAUUGGUAGUAAAGGAAGGUAGGAACUUUUCGACUGAGUUGUUGAGAUGUUAUGCACUUUGACAAACUGAUGACUUCCAAUUGGAACUUUGGGAUUGAGGUAUAAAAGGAAGGUUCCAAUACCAUUUUGUUUUCAUUACUGGAGAGGGCUUUGAGGUUUGAAAGGUUUGCAAAUGGUGCAAAUGACAGUGGAAUUUGAAAAUGGUUUCUUGAAAUAUCUAACACACGAAGAGAUGUCAAGUUACUAAAACAAUGAGGAAGCAUCCCCUCAAGUGCAUUCUCACUCACUUCCAACACUUCAAGGUUCCUUAGAUCACACCAUCCUGAAAAUUUUAUAAAUUCAUGGAAGAAGUUUCAAUUAAAUCUUGUUUUAUAAAACAGAAUAGGAUAUAAUAUAUUACAGAAAGCACAUACAGCAAUCAAUUUGAGCCAUAAAAUUAUUUACCUUGAUUAGGUAAGGGACCAAUAAGUCCACAAUCAGAUAAAGACAAUGUUUUAAGAGAAGCAAAUACUCCAAUGCUUUGCAAAAUGUUGGUGUUGAGAGUAGAAUUGUCAAGAUAUAUUUCCUCCAAAUUGCUCAACACAUUUGAAUCUAAGCAAUGUCAAGAGGUAUUAGAUAACGGUAUUAUAGAAAGCCUCUACUAAGUGAAAUGCUUUAUUUUCUGUGAAUGAAAUGAAAUAUAUAAAUUUUUUUUAUGAGUGUUAGACUAUUCAUGAUUAUCUGAGAUAAAUUUUGAUGGAGAGAAGAUGUUGAAACUUUAAUAUAACUCUUCAUCCAUUUUAUUAAUUAUACUAUUUUUUUUCUUUUUAGUAUUUUCUUAUAUUAUUUUUUAAUAUAAGUAAUUAACUGAUAUGGCUAAUUUGUAUAAUUUUCAAACUCCAAUCAACAACACUAUAAAUAAUAUUUAUAAAAUAAAACAUUUCUACACUAAAAUUAUUAUAUUACCUUUAAAGUUACCAAUACUUUAAAAAAAAAUAAAAAUAGGUAUUUUACUCACCAAUAAAUAAAAUUCAAAAAUAUAUUUAUAUAUGAAAUUAAAAAAUUUAUAUGUAUUUUUACUUUAAAAAAAUAAAAACAGGUAUUUUACCAAUACUCUAAUAUGUAUUUUUAUGUUUUAUACUAUUAAAAAUAUAUGAAAUUAAAAUAUAGUUAUAUUACAUAUUUUCUCAUAAAUAUAUGUUUUUAUUUAUUUAUAAUAUCAUUUUUUUAUUGUUAUAAUCAUUUUUUAUCUCAUAAAAAUUCAAUAAAUUAUUUUAAAAAAUAUAUUUAUACAAACAAAAUAAUUAUAAACAUUAAUAUUUAAAAAUUAUGAAAAAUUUAAAGAAUUUUAGUUUCAAACCAAAGUCGAAACACAUUAUAAUGGAGGGUUUAGAAAAUGUUUCACCAAACCCAUAUUUUACUUUCAAGUAUGAUAUGAUAUAACUUUAUUAAUAUUUAUGACAAUAACUGUUAUUAUAAUAUCUGAGAUCAAAACUAAAUUUCUAAAUUAAAAAAGAAAAGGAAAUUUAAUUAAAUGAUACCUUGGUGGAUCACAAAAUCUCUCAAUUCAUUAUAGCUCAUAUCUAGUUCCCUUAAUUUGAUAAAUGCUUCCAAAUCUAGGAAAACAAAAACAACAAAUUAAUCAACUCCAUUAUAUUCUCUUAAAACAUUAUUAUAUUCUUGUUAAAAAACUAAUAUUUUUACCUUUCAUAUCUAUUGAUCCUUUCAAUUGAUUGACCCUUAUGCUCAACGAUUUCAAAUUUGAAAGCUUGUUAAGGGAUGCAAAUGCACUAGUAUUGAAGAGAUUUCCAUCUAAAUUAAGCUCUUCCAAGUGGGUCAACUCCAAUUUUCUACCACCAUCUACAAAAGAUUUAUAUAAUUUCAUCACUGAAAUGAAUUGGCAUAAAAUUUAAUUAUAUGUAAGAAUUUAGGUAAUUGGUUAAAUAUAAAUGCAUACCUUUAAAGGAUUGAAAGCUUUCAAUUUGAUUCCCACUUAAAUCGAGUUUCUUCAAAUUUGUUAAAUUGCUCAAUCCUAUACAUAUCCACGUCCAAUUUAAAAAAUCAUUAUGUUAAUAAUUUUAAUUUCUACUUAAUAUUUUAAUGAAAUAAAAAUGAAAAAGAAAGUAAAUCUAAAACUUGAAGUGAAGAUGAAAAUCCUCAAACGUGAAAUGUGAAUGUUCAAAAUUAAAACAAUUGAUUUUAAAAGGUUCUAGAAAGAAUUAUCAAGAAAAACAAAGUUAUAGCUUUAGUACCUUUAGUAUCUAAUGAGCCUUGCAAACUGUUCGACCUCAUAUUCAAGGACUUUAGGCUUGAAAGCCCUUGAAGAAAGGAAAUUGUGUUGUUCCGAAAGAGAUUACCACUCAAAUCAAGUUCCUCUAAGUUUGUUAGCCUCAAUUGUGUUCCAUCUAUCAUUGGAAGAAAAUAAUAUCAUUCAAGAUAAAAAUAGUUAGGAAAAAUGAUUGUUUGAGAAGGAAGAGGCAAUUUACAAGCUUUCCCAUGAAUUGAUAACUACAUUUUACAAGUAAAACUUAAUUGAUUCAAUAUAUAAAUACUUUGUUUGAGAUACCUUCCUAUUUUGAAAUACUGCAACAUUAACUGUCCCUUAAACAAAAAUUGGUUUUAAAGUGAAAAAGAAACAUAUAAAAGCAGUCCACCUUUAAUAUGAAUUGACAUAUAAAUACUGUACUUAUACCUUGGUUUGAGAUGCUUUCAAAUUUCAAUUCUGUUCCAACUUAAAUCCAAGUAUUUCAAGUUUGUCAAAUUAUUCAAUCAUAAAAUUCAAUCCCAAAUAUUGAUUAGUUAUAUAUUCAUCGUAUGAUGAAAUCAAACUUGAAUAUACAUUGAUUUUUAAAGUUGAAAAGAAACAGGUAAAAUCAGUCUACCUUGAAUAUGAUCCAUCCUUCCUUUCAACUCAUUACCACUCAAUCUUAAAGUCUUCAAGGAUGAAAGAUUUCUCAUAUGGAACAAAAUGCUAUUCUUCAAAGAAUUCCAACUUAAAUCAAGAGUUUCCAAGUUAUUGAGUCUUGAAAGCAAUUGAAAACCUGAUAUAUAUACAUAAUUACUUGUUAAUUGUUUUUUUCUUUCUUUGCUAUAUGAAAAUUUUACUAAAGCAAUAGUGGAAUUACAACGGAUAAAAAGAAUGGAAAACUAGGUACCAAACCCAGAAGACCAUCCUCAAACUCCACUAUACAAAUAAAAACUAACACCAGACCAAACUUAAUUUACCUCUUAGAUGACUUGAUCCUUCUAAUUUGUUGUGUGAUAGAUCUAAAUACCGGAGAGAUGAAAGCUCACUCAAAGAUAACAAAAUGCUGUCAUUCAAGUAGUUUUCACUUAAGUCAAGGAUCUCCAAAUUACUCAACGUGGAUGAUAGUUUUCCAAAGCCUAUAGAAAUAUUCUUUUAAAUAUAUACAAGUUAGUGACUUUUCUUCCAUAAAAUAAAAUAAAAUAUAAGUAAUUGCAAAUUAACGAUGGUGAGAGUAGUGGAAUAAUAAAAGAUGUAAUUAAGGAAAAACUAGAGGCACGACCUUCAUUUUCAAGAUUACCACUUAUGGCAUUCCCCGACAAAUAAAGACUCUUCAAUUCCUCAAAGGGAAGAAACAUAGAGGCAUUGAGAUACCAGGCAUUGAGAUUCCUAUUAUCCAUGUCGUAUUCCCAUUUUGUAGAAUUAAGGGAGAGUUGUAUGAGUCUCCUAGUGGUGGUGUUACACUCAACUCUUUCCCAUUUACAACAAUCUGAACCCUUCACCUCAACCCAACUAUUCAAUUGAUUACCAUCAUUGAAGAAAGGUUUGAGAUGCAAGAGAGCGAUUCUCUCAUGCUCCAAACAAGCAUCAGUAGUACACCAUCUGCAUCCUUCUAACACCAACAACAUUACUGCCAUCCUAAUAAACCUUAACCAUUUCCACUUCAUCAUCAUCAUCAUCUCUCUGUUUUCACUUCUCUCUCAGCUAUAUGUUACUUUUUUUUAACUUCUAUAUGUAUAUAAUCUAAAGAAGCCUAAGCUUCUUAUUUAUAUACAAGCAGAUGCAUCCCACUAACUCACUAUAAUGUAAAAAUAAUAUAUAAUUAAUUAAUUCCUCAAAAAUUGGAUCAAAAUCUAGGCUUCUUAUUUACGUAAAUUAUUUAUUGCAAAAACUCUUAGUGGAAAUUCGUUAGGAAGGGAUGAAGGGGCCACAAGAAUAUUGAUGUUAAUCUUGAAAAACGAAUGGCCAAAAAAAUAUGAAAAGUGAGAGGUGGACAUAAAAUCGUAUAGUUGGGAUUGCAAAAGUCUUCAUGUGGCUUUCUUGUGAGUUUCAUUUAUACCCUUCUUACACUUAUACAAACUUAGUCUUGACUUGGCUUUAUUAAUGGAAAAUUUAGGUCUUCAUUUUUGGUUUUAUUCAUAGAAAUUUUACUUCUUUGAUUUUGGUUUUAUUAAUGGAAAUUUUAAGUCUUCAGUUUGCUUUUAUUCUUGCACAUUUUAGGUUUUGAUUUUGAAAAUUUAGUUUUUUCAUCUCUAUUAUUAUAAAAUUUCUUAAUUUAAUUAAUAUCAUGAGUUAAUUUAAUACUUUAAAAAAUAAAAUAUUACAUUCACUAUUUUUUAAAAAAUAAAAGUAACUAUAAAAUUUUAUUAUUUAUAUAAUAUUUAAAAAAAAACUAUUUAUUUCUACUAGACCACUACUUUAAAACUAUCCAUUAUCAUAUUGUAAUAGGCCCAAUUUGCCCGGGCCCGGUAAAUAAAUAAAACCAAUAAAAUCAAAUAAAAAAUAGUCCCAAAACAGUCCAUUUACAAUGACCCAAUACCAACCCAAUGGCCUAAAUCUCUACCCAAGCCCGAAUCUAAACCUAAACAGGCCCAAAACCCACUAAACCUAAUGGCCCAAUACCCAGCUUGGCUGAGACAAACCCUAGCCUUCAGCAGCUUUCUGCUCUUGCGCUGCAGCCAAGCCGCUCCUCACGUACGAGCCUCAUUCAUGCGCCGCACCGAGCAACGCCAUCGCCAGGGACCACGCCUGUACUGUGCCACGCGAGCCUCCGUACAUGCGCGCCCGUUCACCUCUGUACCAGUACCUGCAAAUACACACAAGAAGCAGCGAAGCAACAAAAAAAAAGAGAAAAUAGCAGUAGAAAAAUAGGGGAUUUUCAGUUUUUAUUUGAUUUUUCUGGCUAUAAAAGCCAAACACGCAGAUUGUAUCAUAGGGGGAACUCACGCAUAUUGCAAAAAAACAAGGGGCAGAAAAUCAAUACAAAAAAAAAAAGAAAAGGUUUUCUCUUCCUUCAGGUCUCUUUUCUUCUCCAAUUGUUUCUUUUCUUUUUCGAUUGUUAUUAGCCUCAUAUAAGUAUAGAUAUAUAUAGAGUAAAUAAUAACAAAAAGGGGGGGUUAAAACGUACCUGGUGAUGCCUUUGAAUCCACGCGAAGAAGCCAAAAAGCCUUGAAUGGUGAGGCUCCGACCACCAUUCGCAGUGGAAUCAAGGCGGAGGGGCGGACUGACGGCACUGAAGACUAGGGUGAAACCCUAGCAGAGGAAACAAUAAGCAAUUUUUUUUAAAAACGAGUCUGCUAAUGUUUUUUUUAGGGUAAAUUUUGUUUAAAUAAUGAUACAAUACGGAGCCGUUUUGGGCUAGGGUUCCUAGCGUCCAAACGACGUCGUUUAGAGGCCUUACCCAAUGACCCGAUCCAGAUGGCGGCUAGAUCCGCGUGUUUGGUAGGGGGAGGGGAAAUUUCGCGAAGAGUCCCUCUUGUUUUGUGCCGUUUCGGUUUGAUUUUCUUCAUUGUUUUUAAUUUGAAUCGCGUAUUUUAUUUUGUUUUCAAUUUGAUCCACAGUUAAACGGCGCCGUUUUCACUAAUCGGAUUUGAGCAUCCGAACAUUUGUGUUUAUUUUCUGUUUUAGUCCUCUCUGUUAUUUUUUAUUAUGAUUUUUACCCUCCUAUUUUAUUUUCACCCUAAUUUAGUCCCGAAACUGUUAGAUUUCACUUUAUUUAUGCAAUGUAUAUAUUUAUUUAUUUUAAACUUUAUAUUAUUUAUUUUAAAUCGUUCUAUUACUAUUUAUUUUAAGCCUUUUUUACAUAUUAUAUGUUUUAAAUUAUGUUAAUCAAUUAUUCAUUUUAAAUAUAUAUUAUUUAUGUUAAACUACAAAUGUAUAUUAUUUAUUUGGAAUUGUUCUUAUGCACAUCAUGCAUUAUCAUUUUUAAAAAAAUAAUAAUAAUAGAAUUUGUUUGCAUAUUGUUCAUUUAGGAUUCCUUCUCACACAUUACUUAUUUUAAACGUUUUACAUAUUAUUUUAAAUUGUUUUAUAUGUUUUUUUUUAAAUGCUUUGAAGAUUAUUCAUUUUAACUUGUUUUACACAUUAUUUUAAUAUGUAUGGAAUUGCUUUAAUAUAUAUAUACGUGAAUAAAACGUAUUGUAACUGGUAAUUUCUAAAAUUUUAUUCUACGUUUUAAAAUUUUUAUCAUUUCGAUUAUGUUGAUUGGUUUACUUGGGAUUAAAUUAUUAUUGCAUUGAUUAUUCUUUUUUUUGAUUUUUUUGUUAGAUUGAUUAUUAGUUUAUUUGAUUAUCAAUGUUGAUGUAUUAUAUGUUUGGUUGCUCCAAAUUGUAAAUUUAGCUUGCUAUUCACCAUUUGAUUAGUAUAUUGAUAUUUUAUUAUAUUGUUUGUAAAAAUUGCAUUUCAUUAAAGCAUUACAAUUGUUUUAUUUCAAAAUUCUCAAAAAGCUUGGUAUUUAAAAAUUCUCGAGAGGAUUGUGCCCUAACUUACUGGGCUUACCUUUUUUAAUUUGAACAUAGAAGUUUCAAAAUAAAAGCUCAUUCUCGGGAAUUUGACACGUUGUGUCCUAACGCAUUGAAUAUGACUAUUAUUUUCUCGAGAUGAGGAUUUUAAGGCAAUGUUCGAUAUUUAGGAAUUUUGUGAAAUCGAACCCUAACUUACUGGGUUUUGAUUUUCUCAUUUGACCCAGAUAAUCGGACAUCCUCCUCAAAAUGCAUAGGUUUUAAAAGACGAGAGAUAAACUUAACUUGGAGGACUUAAAAUGUUGCACUCUAACUUACUAAGGGUGACGAUUUAUUUCUUUGAAAUAAGUGAGUCUCGUCGUCCAAUUCAUUUUAUUCAAAAUAAAAGGAUCAAAUUUUAAAAUCUUUUCAAAAUUUUGACAUUAAGACAUUAAACAUUCCAAUCGGUACCAAUUUUGGGCGUCACGAGGGUGCUAACCCUUCCUCGUGCGUAACCAACUCCCGAACCCGUUUUCUCAAAAAUUCGCAGACCUAAAAUUAUUUUCAAGGUGAUCCGCACACCACAAUAAAAGAUCGGUGGCGACUCCAUUUCCAUUUUCAAAAUUGAUCCCCAUUUUUCAAAUUACAAAAAAAUGGCUUCGACACAUAUAACUUCUCUUUAAUAAUUCACUAUUCUUUGAACAUUCAUUAGUUUUUGAAACAUAAAAUUUAUAAAUAAUUAUUUUUAGAGUAAACUACACCCAUGGUCACUUUUGUUUACCUUAGGUUACAUUUCAGUCACUUAUGUUUGAAAUGUUACGUUUUAGUCACUUAAGUUAUUGUGUUGUAACAUUUUAGUCACUGAGCCGUUAGUUGUCGUUAAUGGCUGACGUGGCACGUUAAAUUAUCAUUUCAAACAAAAACUUUAGGUUAAAUUAUACAAUUGGUUUCCAUAAUUUUUCGUUUUGAGCAAUUUAAUUCUUUUAUGCUCUUUAACUUUCUUUCUUUUUUUUCUUUAUUUUCCAUUCUCUUCUGCUUCUCCCUGUUUUCCUACAUUCUUUAUUUCUUUUAACAUAUCAGGAAGUCGAAUUGGUAGUGAAGAAAGAAGCAUGGUAUGGGUUUAUGGGCUUUGGUUAUGGGCAAAUGAUGACAGUCGACUUCCUACUUCUUUUUUCACUGUCAAUUCGACUUCCUAAUAUGUUAAAAGAAAUGGGAAAAGUAUGAAAACAGAGAGAGAAACAAAAAAGAAUGGAAAAAAAGAGGAAAGUUUAAAGAACAUAAAAGAAAAAAAAUUAAAUUACUUAAAACGAAAAAAAUAUGGGGAUCAAUUGUAUAAUUUAACCUAAAAUUUUGUUUGAAAUGAUGAUUUAACGUGCCACGUCAGCUUACCGUUACACCAUUAACGACGAUUAAUCGCUCAGUGACUAAAAUUUUACAACAUGAUAACAUAAAUGACUAAAACGUAACAUUUUAAACAUAAGUGACUAAAACGUAACCUAAGGUAAAUAAAAGUGACCAUGGGUGUAGUUUACCCUUAUUUUUAAUAUGACUUGAUUUUUACUUGAAUCAUUUUUGUAAUUAGUUAAUUAAAUUGGGUUAUUUUAAAAAAAUCCUCUUAACUAAUAGCCAAAAAAAAAAAAGCCAUCAUGUAGAAAAUUCUGGUUUGUUGGAAAAAUAAAGACUUGACCUAUUACUUUAGAUUUUGAAAUGUUCAACUUGAUAUUGACAUAUGAUAAUAUGUACAAAUUUCUCAUUCUUUUAAAUUUCAGUGAUAUUACAUGUAUGAUAAUAUGUUUGCCACACCAAAUUUGAAAAUAGUAGAACUUAAUGAAUUUAACAGAUAUCUAAAAUAUCAAAUUAAAGUCUAGGAAUUAAAGCUACAACAUCAGUAAAGUACAAGAACUAUGGUAGAAUUAAACCUUUAUAUAAUAAUUUCCUUCUAUGAACCACAAUUCAAGUGCACCCGACAAGCUAAUUAAUAAAAAUUUAGUGGUAGAAUAUGUAUAUUCUUGUGGGUGGAAAUUUAGUGGAGAUGCCCAUCAUCUUUCCUAAUUAAUAAAAAUGAAGACUUAGAAAAUGUGCAAUCAUAAUCCUAGUUGUCGUUAUGGCCCCAAGAAUAGGUAUAUUAAUUUGUCUCUCUUCAGGAUCAAAGAUAAAUAAUAAAUUUUAUAAAGUUAAAACCAUAAUUCUAUAAUUAUAUUAAUGUAUAAUUUCAUAAAAUUUUAAAAAAUGUAUCUUUCAACUUUUUUAAGUAAAUUGAUAAUUCGUUAACUCAUAAUAUUUUUUUUUUCAAAAUAUUUAUGAGAACGAGUUCGUAUUCUAUUGUGUGGAAAAUUUUAGUACAGAUAUUGGUGAAGCCAAAUCCAACUUGUUUGACCAAGAAAGUCUCUGUCGUGUGGAAAAUUUUAGUUUUGUGGAAAAUGGACAUUACCAUUUCCUUGAAUGACCAUCAAUUUCUCCAUUGAGAUAUAGUAAGAGGGAGUGAAAUAUAUAUAAGGUAAUAUUUAAUGUAUUCACACCAAAUUUCAUUAAUGAGUAAAACAAAUAAUGAAUAAUAAUGAAAAUUGGAGGAAAUUGUUAAGAAAAUAUCAUUACAUAUAUCAACACUCACAUAAUUCAUUGUAUUAACUUUCAAAUGUUGACUAUUGACUUCUACAUCAACCUUGAGCUUAUAUAGGCCCCCCUCACGGAAAUAAUCUCACAUUUAAUGCCUAGAGGUGCUUAUGGGCCGGGCCGGGCCCAGAAAAAAUUUUAGCCCGGGCCCGGCUCGGCCCGAAAUAUGGGCCUGAAAUUUUGCCCAAGCCCGGCCCGGUAAAAAAUUCAUAAGCCCGAGCCCGGCCAUUUUUUAAAUAAAUACCAAAAAUUUAUUUUAAAAUUAAAAAAAUUUAAAAAAAGUAUUUUAAAAAUAUUUUAAAUAAAUACCAAAAAUUCACCCUGCAUCUAAAAGGAGGUCCAGCACUCGAAUCCCAUUCCCCAUAACUAAAAACCAUGUCACUGUGACUUGGUCAUAUCUCCGUUCAAAGUCGGACAUGGGUAGUUAAAGAAAAAUGAAGAGUCGAUGCAUGAUAGACUAAGGACUAGCUCAAAAGUGCUUUUAGAAAAAAUUGCUCUUGAAAAGAGGUGUGGAAAAGUGUGCUUGUUAGUUUUUAGUGUUGUUCAUUGCUGCCAAAAAUCGCAAUUGAAAGUUAAAAUGUUCUUUUUAGACAUGAUAGUAGAAAGUAAAAAAUUAGUCAAGUCAUAUGAUUUUUAAAUAAUUUAAUAUAAUGAUACAUGAAAUAUAACUUUUAAAUACCUUUUAAGUAAUUAAUAUAAAUUAGUUGUAAAAUUGAUAAUAUAUAAAAUAUUUUGAAAAAAAUAAAUAUAAUAAUAAAUAAGAUUUAAACAAUUUAAUAUAAUAAUAUAUAAAAUAUAAAUUAAUCUAAUUUUUAUAUACCUUUUAAAUAGUUAAUGAAAAUAAUAGUAUUUUGAUAAUUUUCCCUUUGAAAUGCAAAAGCCAAAAACAGUUUUUGACUACAAAAGCUAUGUGUUGUUCAUCACUUCUGCAGUGGAAAAACACUUCUCCAUGGUGUAAAAACACUUUUACCCAAAAAGGCUUUUUCACCACAGUAGAGAAUGCACCCUAAAAUUGUAAAUAGAAAAAGGAAGAACCAAACAUUGUUUCUACCCUGUUUUUGUCUCCUCUUUGAAAAUACUUUCCAAAAGUUUUAUCAUUUUUUUUUCUGUUUACGAUGCCUUAAAUGCAAAUUCCUUAUAGAAGUGCUUUCUUUUGAUCCACUUGCAUCAUUGUAAUAAGUUUGCAUUGCCUUCUUUCUAUGUUGAUUAUCGUUUAUUAAGUUUUCUGUUGGAUCUUAUAGUCAAAUUCCUUUACAUCAUGUAUGUUAAUUUGCUUAGCCCUGAUAAAUGUUAGAUAUAGGGUUAUCAGCUAAUUAGGAAAGACUGUAAUGAUAGUCACACCUUACAUCCAAAUUUUUACAUUGAGGUUCCUUAUUAUUUUUUCUUGUUUCACCAAUUGCAUCCUAUUUACAGUUCCUUAGCGUUAUCCACUGUGCUAGGGUGGUUCUUGUUCAUAUAUUAAUCACCAUGCGCCUUCAGCAAAUGCAAAGCCAGCCAGCAUCUUCUGAUUUGUCAUUGGAUACUACACUUUCAGCAAAUGUAAAGCCGCCAGAUUUUCAGCUGUUUUUAGAAGGUCAAGACACAACAAGAGCAACAUAUGUUGUAUUCUUGUCAAACAAGAUAAGUUUUCGCAUAUUAACGAUUCUUUUUCCAAGAUGAAUUAUUCUCCUGUUGCAUUUUUAUUUGGGUUCAAAUGUUCUGUGAAGUUAGCUUGCCAGUGCUUGUUUGUUCAUCAGCAUUUACAGCUCAUUUGUCAUUGGUCAGCAGAAUUUCCGCUGUUUUUAGAAGGUCAAGACACAACAAGAUCAGCAUAUGUUGUAUCUAACAUUUAUAUUCAACAACUGGAAACCAUGUCAUAAAUACAUAUGAAAAAUAUUUAAAAAUCCUUGGUUGAAUACUCGUGCACUAACAUUUUUUAAAAGUUAAUUUUGUGUUACUUUUUUCAUCUCUAUUAUUAUAAAAUUUCCUGAUUUACUUGAUAUCACGACUUAAUUUAGCAUUUAAAAAAUGGAAUAUUACAUUCACUAUUUUUUUAAAAAUAGGAGUAACUAUCAAAAUUAAUUAUUUAUAUAAUCUUUUUUAUAAAAACUAUUUAUUUCUACUAAACCACUACUUUAAAACUACCCAUUAUCAUACAACUUCUCUUUAAUAAUUCACUAUUCUUUCAAACAUUCAUUAGUUUUUCAAACAUAAAAUUUAUAAAUAAUUAUUUUUACCUACAUUUUGAAUGAUGCAAUUUCUAACUAUACACUAAAAUACUCCAUUUAUCAAUUUAAUUUAAUUCAAAGAAUUAUGAUAAUAAUUGAAAUUUCAAAAAAGGAAAAAAACUAGAUAAUUGAAUAUUUAUAUACAAAAAUAAAACAAACAAGACAGACUUAAGCUUUCUUACCCCAAAGACAAGAUCUUUAUUCAAAAUGCAAAACUAGCAAAAUACUCCCUAAAAUUCAUCUAAACACAUCUUCUAAAGAUGUAAUACCCAAGAAGAUUGCCCACAGUUGGUGAUGCACUUCCCAACGAAAGAAAACCAAACUCCUCGCCAAUAUGGAUUUAUGUAAAGGAUAGCAACAAUUGUUAACAACAUAACUACAUAAGAAGCCAAAAAGCUCACACAAAAAACAUAUGUGUCUAGAAAACUAUCUUCUCUUUCAUCAUCUGAUAUUGUUGAUAUUGAACCGGUUUUGGAGCAACUUAUAUGAAGUAUAGGUCCACAGAGAAAAGGGUUCCCCUCGUAACUGCUUUCAAUGAAAGUCCCAAAUUGGUUUUGUUCUGGAAUACUACCUGACAAGUUGUUGUGUGCAACACUGAAAACCCCCAGAGAGUUCAAAUCUACCAGCUGGUUUGGGAUUUCACCACUCAAGUUGUUGUAAGAAAGAUCCAAACUCUCAAUCUGCUUAAGUUUUGAGAAUGAUGAAGGUAUAACUCCGACCAACUUAUUGCGUGACAAGUUCAAAGAAUGGAUUUCACGCAAGUUCCCUAAUUCAAGUGGGAUUUGACCAGUUAACUCAUUGCAAGAUAAAUCAAUCCCAGACAUGUAUUCAAGGAUGUCGCCUCCAUAUGAGAAAGAUCCACUCUUUGUGGUAAACUCUACCGAUUCUUUCAUGUAGCUAUAGGAAUGCAUCAUGUGCUCGAAAAGUAUACCCGUCUUUAAUAGUUUCAAUUCAUCCAGUUCUGAAAAUGUUGGCGACAUUAAAUCUGGUGUCAUGGUCUUAUCCUUAUUCAUUGGAAGAGUUAAAUUUCCCAAACAAGAAGGUAUAGGACCGGAAAACCUAUUUUGAGAAAGAUCUAUAAUGCUCAAGGAAUACAAGGUGCAUAACUGGACUGGAAUUCUUCCCUGUAAAUGAUUAGCUUUCAAGAGAAGGACACUCAAAGAAGAAAGUGUGUCGAUCCAUUUUGGAAUACCACCAGUAAAAUUGUUUCCUCUAAGAUCUAAUGUCACUAGUGAAGUGCUUUUAUUAAAAGCAAGUGACAAUGGACCACCCAGUCUAUUAUUGUGCAGGUGGACAUGCUCUAGGUUUGGAGGAUUAAAACAAGAUGGUAUAGAGCCAGAUAAAUUAUUUUCAGAAAGAUCCAAAAAUUUGAAGUUAUUCAAGUUGCAAAAUUCCACUGGAAUAGAACCCUCGACACCAUUGUUAGACAAGUCUAAUCUCUCCAAAAGUGACAUAUUCCCUAUCCAUCUUGGAAGCUUUCCAUGCAAUCUGUUGUUACUGAGAUCAAUAUCUGUUAGUGAUGUUGGAAACUGAAAAGUAGAGACAUCAAAAUUUGUCAUCUCUCCAGAAAAAUUAUUUCCAUCCAAAUAUAAUUUUUGUAACCCAUUUGCAUUGAGAAUCACAGGAACUACAUUUCCAUUGAGGUUGUUGUUUGACAGUCUCAAAAGAAAUAGUGAGCUUUUCCUGACCAACUCUUGAGGUACUUUUCCAGCCAAUUGAUUGUUUGAUAGAUCUAACAUUGACAAAUUCUUCAUGGCGCUUAAACAAGGAGGGAUAUUGCCUUGAAAGGCAUUCUUGGAUAAGAAUAACUGCUCCAAAUGUGGAAAAGUUGAACAUAUAUUGGUUGGAAGCGGACCUUGUAUUUUGUUGUCAGACAUGUCGAUUGAAGAUACAUUUGAAUUAGGAGUCGACAGUAAUGUGAGAGGACCUGUAAAAGAAUUACCCUUCAAGAUGAGAUCUUCUAACUUUGUGUUGUUUUCUAACAACCAAAAUGGGACAGUUCCACUGAAAUUGUUCUGAGAAAGAUCCACAAAUCUCAAGUCAUUUUGGUAGUAAAGGAAGGUAGGAAGUUCAAGACUGAGUUGUUGAGAUGUUCUGCACUUGGACAAACUAAUGAAUUUCAAUUGGAAUUUCGGGACUAAGGUGUGGAAGGAAGGUUCCAUUUCCAACUUGUUUUCAUCAGCCAAGAGGACCUCAAGGUUUGGAAAGUUUGCAAGUGGUACGAAUGAAAUUGGAAUUUGAAAAUGAUUACUUGAAAGAGAAAUGGCUCUGAGUGAUGUAAGACUUGCUAAAGGAGUUAGAUUUCCGGAAAAUCGAUUGUUGGAGAUAUCUAACUCACGAAGAGAUGUCAAGUUACUGAAACAAUGAGGAAGCAUCCCCUCAAGUGCAUUCCAACUCACAUCCAACACUUCAAGGUUCCUUAGAUCACACCAUCCUGAAAAAUUUAUGAAAUCAUGGAAGAAUUUCUAAUUAAAUUUGGUUUUCUAAAACAGAAUAGGAGAAAUCAGAUAAAGAAAAGGUCGUAUAGAAAAUUUUACCGUGAUCAGGUAAGGAACCAAUAAGUGCACACCUAUAUAGAGACAAAGUUUGAAGAGAAGUGAAUACUCCAAUGCUUUGCAAAAUGUUGAUGUUGAGACGAGAAUAAUCGAGAUUUAUUUCCUCCAAGUUGCUUAAUUCUAAUCAAUGAAAAGAGGUAGUAGGUGUUAAUGAAACGUAAGUUGUUUUGGAAUAGAAGAAGUAUUAGAUGUUAAUCAAGAAAAGGUGUUUACCUGAUGAGAAAGCCUCUACUAAGUUUUCUAGCGGAAUGCUAUCGUCGGUGACAAUACUUUGGAGACGAAGAACUUUUAACUUUUUCAAUCCCUUGUUUUCUGUGAGCGAAAAUAUUUUGAUAAAAAUUGUGAAAACUUCAACAUGAUUGCACUAAUUGUUUUUCUUUUCUUUCUAGCAUUUUAAGAUAAAUAAUGUGUAAAAUAGAAUUUUCCUUUAUUGAGAUCAUUAUAUUACUUUAAAUUUAUCACCACUAAAUAGAAAAUUAUUAUUAAAUCAAAGUUUUAAAUUUAUUAUUACUUAAAUGUUGUUUAUGCUGGGUGAUUUUGAUGAGAAUAAUUUAUUAUAUAAAAAUAAAAGUAUAUUUCUUAAAGUAAAAUAAGAGAAAUAUUUUAAAUUUUUUUGAAAGUGUUUAUAUACAUAUUACACUUAAUCACUCUUUUGAAAAUUCUAAUUACUCUUUUAAAUUUUAUGUUAAUUUUAAAAAGUAUAUAUAAUUUCAACAGAAAUAUUACUUUAAUAUUAAAAUGAAGAGCUUUUGUGGGUAAAAAAAAUUAUAUGAGUUUAUUUAAUUACAAAAAUAAUUUAAGAAUUUAUUUAAAAAAUAUGUAGUUGUUUUAGGCUCGAUCCUAGGGGUUAUUUGAGAGUGCGGUCGCCCAGGGCUGGAAGGGGCCCAAUUUUUUUUUCAGAUUUUAAUAUGGGAAAAUAUUCAGACUAAAAUAAAUAAAUAAAUUGCCUAGAGCUUUCAAAUUUUCACCAUAAAUACUUCAUCUCCUAUGGCUAAAAAAUUUUUCAGCUUUUAUUGUAUUACAUUUUAUAAUAUUUUUAAAAAGACUCGUUUAAAGACUUUUUUAAGUAUAUUAACCUAUUUUAAAAUUCCACAUUUUUAAAAUGUCUUAAUUUUCAAAUUAAAGUACAAACACACUAUAAUCCACAAGCCUUAAUUGCCAUGUCAACAUAAACCACCAUUUAGAAGAUUGUUUUCAUUUUUUAAAAAAUAAAAAAAAAUUAUUUAAAUGAUACCUUUGUGGACCACAAAGCCUCUCAAUUGAUUCCCACUCAUAUCUAGUUUCUGUAAGUUAGUAAAUGCAUCCAAAUCUGGGAAAGAAACAGAUAAGCUUCAUUAAAUCAUUCCAAAACAUGAUUAAUAUUUUUGUCUAUAGAGGCAUAAUUUGUCAAAAAAUAAUAAUUUUACCUUUCAUAUCUAUUAAUCCAUUCAAUUGAUUGAAACCUAUGCUCAAAGAUUUCAGAUUUGAAAGCUUGUUUAGAGUUGCAAAUACACUGUUAUUGAAGAGAUUUGCUUCUAAAUUAAGCUCUUCUAAAUGGGUUAACUCCAAUUUCUUACCUUCAUCUACAAAAGAUUUAACGUAAUUUCAUCAAUGAAAAAAAUGAUAUAAAUUUAAUUAUGUGUAAUAAAUUAUUUAACUGAACCCUAAAUUGUGGGUUAAUGGUUCAAGUGUUCGAAUUAUCAUUGUGUAAAAAAAACAAACUUAAUUAACGGACCAAAAUAUAAAUACAUACCUUUGAAGGAUUGAAAGUUUACCAUUUGAUUCCACCUUAAAUCCAACGUCUUCAAAAUUUUCAAAUUAUUCAAUCCUAUAUAUACUCAAGUUGAACAAAUAUUUUAAUAACUUGGCUGAAGUGAAAAGGGUAAAAGUAAGGAAGUUGAAAAAUCCCCAAAAGUGAAAGUACUAAUUUGAAACAAAUAAUUAUAAAGGGUCCUACAUAAGUAAGGACUUUAUGCUUGAAAGCCUUCAAGGAAGGAAAAUGUGUGGUUUCCAUGGGAUCUAAUUAUAAUCCUUGUUUGCUGGAUUCCACCUUUUUUAUUUGGCCAACAAAAAAUAAAUAAAUAAUAUAAAAAAAUUGUGAUUACUAAGGCUUCAACCUUGAAGUUUAAAUAGAAUUAUUCAAUCCCAAAAAUUGACCAAAAAUUUCCCUCAAACAAAACUUAACUUUAAAGUAGAAACAAAACCAGAGAAAGGCAAUCUACCUUGAAUAUGAGGCCACUUUCCUUCUAAUAGGUUGUAAGCUAGAUUUAAAUAUUGGAGAGAUGAAAAUUGGCUCAAAGAUAAUAUAAAGCUAUCAUUCAGAUGAUUUUGACUUAAGUCAAGGAACUGCAGAUUUCUGAAUGUGGAUGAUAGCUUUUCAAAACCUGCAGAGUUAAUAAUAACAAGUAAUCGCAAAAUUAACAGUAAGUUGUGUUGAAAAUAUGUGUACAUAAUAGAGUAACUAAAGAUGAAAUGAAGGGCAAAUCAAAUAUAGAACCUUCAUUUUCAACACAACCGGCUAUGCCACUCCCUGUCAAAUAAAGCCUCUUUAAUUCCUUGAAGGGAAGAAACAAAGAGGCAUUCAGAUACCAAUAAUCCAAGUAUCCGGACCUCAUAGAAUCAAGAGAGAGUCCAAUGAGUCUCCCAGUGGUGGUGUUGCACUCAAUCCCUUUCCAUUUACAACAAUCUGAACCUUUAACCUCGUCCCAGCUGUCGAACUCAUUAUAGUGAUUGAAGAAAGGUUUGAGUUGCAAGAGAGCAACUCUCUCAUGCUCCACACAAGCAUCAAUAGUGCACCACCUGCAUCCUUCUAACAGUAGCAGCACACUCAUCACUGCCAUCCUCAUAAACCACAACCAUUUGGAGUCCAUCAUCUCUCUGUUUUUGCUUCUCUCUCAAUUGUAUGCUACUUCAAACUUCUAUUGCAUUAGCCUUCAUGAAACUUGUUAUUUAAAGACAAGGACCUAAGGCUGAAGGCAACCCACUAGUCCACGCUGAAAUAGUCCACUGAAUGUGACGAUAUAUAGGCCCUACAAAGUGUGGUUGUGGAAAUAAUCUAAACACCUAUCCUCCAAAUUAAUACUAUUCCUUGAGAAAUUAUUAAAGGUCAAUUUCUGGUUUUAGUCCCUACGCAAAAUUCAUUUUGAAGGUUUAGUUUUUAUAUAAUUUAAGAUCAAAUUUUUAUAAUUAAAUUAUCAUUUACGUCUGCUUUAAAAUUAUGAAAAAAAUAUUUUAAAAAUAUAACGAACUCCAGCUACAGCUUCAAAAUAUGAUGAAGAUGUUUUAGUAGAAUAAAUCGCAGAAUCCGCCAUCUUUGACUUUUGUUUUCUUAUUGUGAGAAUAUCUUAACAUUAUAACUUUUGAAUAUAUUUUGUUAUUUCAGUUAUUAAUUUAGAUCAUAUACAAAUUUCUUUCGUGAUAGUCUCAUUUAGAUUUGAAGUUUGUUGUUGGAUUUGAAGUUACAGGAAAAUAUGUUGAAAAUUUGGGUUUAAUAUUAAAUAAAAUGGGUUGGUAAAAUCUAUUAAUGUUAGUGGCGUUUUCCCACAAAUGCCACUAUAGAACAUGAUCUUUAGCUGCGCUUUUACUACAAACAUUGCUAAAAAACAUGAUUUUUUGUGGUACUUCUAGCUAUAAAUGCCACAACAUGCUUGACUCUUUUAUAGUGUUUUUCCAAAUGAACGCCGCAAAUUUUAGCGGCGCUAUCUAAAGCGACUUUUUACUGGCACUUAUCAAAGCGCCGCAAUCUGUUUUAGCGGCACUUAUAAGCACCGCCAUAGGGCCAAAAAAACACCGCUAAAAACCUAUUUUGCUGUAGUGAUUUACGCAUUUAUAAGCCUACAAAAUAAUCACGGAUUCAAUUUUAGAGUCCGUUAUCAGCCCCUAAUCGGGACAUCAAAUUGACCAAAAAGGGCCCACAUGACCUACCUGUUCAACUUGUGUAAUUGCACACGCCUAAGUGCUCCACACGGCCUGGCACACGGCCAACUACACAUCAAUGUGGUGCACAUGAACUUGUGACGCAGAGUAGCUUUGAAAAUUGUAACCUCCCAAACCCGGCCUAGAUGUUAUGACUAGAUUGAGAAGGCUACAAUAGCCACCGAAAUGGCUAAGCUAACUUACGUUACUUUUGAAGACCUUAAAUAAACUCAUUUUAGAGAAAACCGUAGUUGUACUUUGAGUUAGCUUAAAAGCAUUCAUUCAUUAGGUCGUGUAUACUUAGGAUUCAUUUUAUUGUUGAUAGUGUUGUUUUACAAAAAUAGUUUGCUUAUCGCUCUUCUUUUAAAAAAAACUCGAUGGUAAACUAAUGUGCGGAAAAACCAUUUUUCAAGUCAUUUUGGAAACUUAGUUGCCUUAACGAUUUGUUUUUCAGAAACAAUUCCUUUUUAAUGCAGCGGAAACUAGGGAACAAUAUCAAAUUUUACUUAAGCUCGAUAUCAUGCAUUAUUCAGUUAUUAUGCUUGAGUAAUCCAUGCAUGCAAAAAUCCCAAAAGAAAAGUUACUAAGCCACAAACCACAAGUCAUUAAAAAUUACAAACCAAAACUAAUAGAAUCUGAUUAAUACUUUUUAAAAAUAGUCCGAGGUCCAAGGUGAUUCUUCGAAUGCCAAGUCCGAUCCUAAUUUUGAGGUUUACACAUUCAUUUGACAUACUCAGCACGUCCUCAAUAAUCACAUACUUUUAGUAAAUGAAAACAAUGUUCCAAACUUUCAAAUUACCAUUGUGUUGGUAUUAAUCAAUAUCGUUCAAUUUCGCAUACUUUAUGAAUUUUGAUUAUGCAUAAAUAGCACCCUAUACAACAUAUAUGUAUAUAAUAUAUGCCAAGAAAAUUUAGAAAUACAAUAAAUCAACCUAAAUGAAAUCAUUCAUCAUCAUUUUUCAAGAUUUUAAAUUAUAUUUUCUCAUUCCCAUUGUCAGUGUAUUUCAACUUGUAAACAAAGAUGAUGGCUACUAUAAAUGGAAUCAUUGAUAUAUCAUGAUAUUUGAAUUUGACAACUAUUUUUAUACAUUUUAUUACCAAAAGUAAGGGUAUUAAUUUUUUAAUGUUUAAUUGUGGUUUAGAGUUAAUUUAUUUAAAGUUAAUUGUUAAUAUUAUUAAAUUCAAAUUUUCGUAAUUGUAUUAAUAGAAUAAAUUUAGUGUUAAAAGUGAGUUUAUUCAAUUUUAUAUUUAAUUUGUUAAAUGUAAUCUAAUGAUUUUUUUGUGCUCUAGUGUUGAUUUAAUUAAAGUUAAUUAUUAAUAUUAUUAGGUAACUAUGAGUUCUCAUCAAAUUAAUCCUAAAAUUCAAAUUAAAUGCUAAAAAAUUAACAUUAUUACUUUUAAAUAUCAAAAUGUAUAAAUUUUAUUAAAUAUAGAUACUAAAUCAAACAAAAAUUAUAAAUUUUGAGUCGUUGCAAAUUUUUCCAACAUUUUUGGGGUCUUGAAUUUGAUAUGCAAAAAGUUGGUGGGAAUUUUAAGUCAGCAAAUCCUUUAAAAGGGCAAUGACAUAAUUAAUUGCAUUACUUUAAUGGUUGAAUUUUCAUAGCUAAUAUGUAUGCAAAAAGUUGGUGUGAAUUUUAAGUCAGCAAAUCCUUUAAAAGGACAAUGACAUAAUUAAUUGCAUUACUUUUCAAAGAUCGACUACUGACUUUGGUGAACUUAUUUAUAGAAGGUUAAAUUCUGCUGUUGGUCACUGUACUUUACGAAAGUUGUGAAUUUAGUCUCUAAACUUCAAUUUGAUCAAUUUUAGUCUCUAUACCUUUUGAAUUUUGAAAUUUUAGUUCUAACCCAAACAGUAGCAGUUAUCAAUUUGAUUAAAUUCUAUUACUAUCGAUUUAGUCCAAACUUUCUGAAUUUUGAAAUUUUAGUCUUGAUGCAAAUGACAAUCACUGGUCUAUUAAUUGGAUUUUUAGUAAAUAAUAUGUGAAAAUAACAAGUUUGUUGACACCAUUUUUUUGAUAAAAAUGGGGUCGACUUAGAUUUUGAAAAUAAAAACGAAAAUGGGAGUCGCCACCGAUCCUUUUUGAUAAGGUGUGAUCGGGUCACCUCAAAAAGUGAUUGUUUUUAAUAAGCGAUUUGAUUUUAUUAAAACAACGAUUUUAGUCCACGAAAUUUAAAAAAAUGGGUUCGGGAGUCGGUUACGUUCAAGGAAGGAUUAGCACCCUCGUAACGCCCAAAAUUGGUACCUAGUUGAUUAAUUAAUAUCUUAAUGUCGAGAAUUGAAAACUCGAAAAGAAUUUAAAAUACAAUCAUUCCUUUUUAUUAAUGUUAAAUUUAUAAACGAUGCUUGGAUAAAUCGAGGUGGAUGCUAAAGACCUUCUUGUCUCAGAGUAAAUAAAAUGUCAAUCCAGUACGUUAGGACACAACAUUUUAAAUCCUCGAGAACAAGCUUAUCUUUUUAUUUUCAAAACUCGUGCAUUUAAAUUUCAAAAGGAUAUUCGAUUAUUUGGAUCAAAGGAGAUAAAUCGAAACCCAGUGAGUUAGGGCACGAUCAUUCAAAUUUCCCAAAUACAGAAUAUCACUUUUAUUAUUUUUUUAGGAAAAUCCUCAUCUCGGGAAAACAACAUGUCAUAUCCAAUGCGUUAGGACACAACGUAUUAGAACCCAAUACGUUAGGGCUCAAUCUUCUCGAAGAUCCAAAAUACCGAGUAUUACCCUUAUUUUCAAAAUUUUCUCUUUAUUACGAAUUUGAGUAAAAAUUGUAAAUGACAGAAUAACAAUUAUGAUAAUGUAAAUAAAUAAAUAAAUGAAUAGAAUGAAAAAAAGUAAAAAAGACAUAUAUGUAUGUGCAUAUAUAUAUAUAUAAAUUAUAAAAAAUAUAUAUGAUAUUAUAAAAAUGUAUGCAUGUAUAUAUAUUAAAAGUAUAUGUAUAUGUGUAUUUCGAAAGUAUAAAGUAUAUAAGAUAUAUAUAUGUAUAUGUUUAUAAAUUAUAAAAUAUAAAACAUAUAAGUACGUAUAUAUAUAUAAAUGAAUCAUGAAAUGCACGUGUAUAUAUGUAUAUAUUAGAAAAUGUAUGAAUAUAUAACAAAAUUUGGAAUUAAGGAUGUAAAUGAGUGAAUAAUAAUAACAAUGAAUUAAAAUACAAAAUCAAUGAUGCCAUACAAUAGUAUUAAUAAUAUCAAAAUAAUUAAUUUAAUGAUAAAAUAACUAAAACAACAAAUAGAGGAUUAAAUUAGAAACUAAACUAAAAUUUGGGGUCAAAUAAAAAUAACUUAAAGAGGGUGACUCGGGACUAAAACAAAAUGCGCUGAAGGAGCAAGGGACUUCCAGGGAAAUAUUCCCUAGUCCUGAAACGCAGCACUUCAGCAAGGAUUAAAAUGAAAUCAGAAAAAAAUUUAUGGGCCAAAAUGAAAGAAACAAAAGGGACAAAUUGCACUGAACUAUAAAAGAGGAGGGGCUGAACGCGCAAAUAGCCCCUCCAGGCAUAACACGCGGAUCCUGACCGCAUUCGGGUCGGGUCUCGGAUCGGCUCCUGGGUUUUAUGCCAAACGGUGCUGUUUUGGCCAUGGAUGCUAAGGUCCAAAACGUCGCCGUUUUUAAACUAUAUAAACACUCAAAAAAUCAACAAAAAAAAAAUUCAUCCCUUAUUUUUUUCAAAAAAACUGAGAGUCUCCCUAACUCUCUCUCAACCCCCAUCCCUCAUAUUCGGCCGACGACCUUCUUAGGCCUCCGUCGCGCCACCUCGUAGCCGGAGGUCGGCGCCGGAAAUGAAAGGCCAUUAAACCCCUUUUGUGGAGUCCUUGAGAGCCAGGCUCUCUCAACCCGCGAGGAGUGAAACAAAAGGGGGACCCUCGACCUUGGCAGACCCGACUCAACGAUGGAGGAGAGAGCCUCUGGCGGCACAGUCACGGCCAACUCCAGUGAGUCACCCUUCCCUUUUUGUCCUUUCUUUUAGUACUAGUUUUAAAAUCAGAUUUUUUAAAAAAAUGAUAAAUAAAAUAAGUAAAUAAUUCAAAAAAAAAGAAUCGGAGAAGACAGCAACCUUUGUUUCUAUUUCUGAAAUUCGUAAAAAAAUGACAGACGAAGAAUACAAUGUUAAGAUUUUGGCCUUUAUAGCCGAUUUAAAAACCCCUAAAUUUUUAUUUUUUGUCGUUUUGUUGUUUGGCCUGUUCUGCUGUUGCGUGUGGUUUACUGCCUUGCAGGUGUCAGAGGCUGACGGUCGGUGAUAGGCGAGUAACGGCCUGCGUGAGGAGUGGCAGAGGAGGCAGAACAUGCGGCGCUGGGCAUUGGGCAGAGGCGUGCGGCGCUUUGGGGUUUGCUCUUGGCUGAAAUUGUUUAAGUUGUGGGGCAGUCGAGCCACUAGGGUUUUUUUUUAUUGGGACGUUUGGGCCAUUGUAAUUUUGGGUUUAAGUUUGCUGUAAAUGGACUGGAAUAGUUUUUAUUUUUUAGGCCCGGGCCAAAAUUGGGCCUUACAAAGUCGAUAUGACAUUACACAAAUGAUAAUAUGUUUGUCACACCAAAUUUUAGAGAUAGCAGAACUUAAUGAAUUUAACAAAUAUCGUUUACGGUGAUUGAAAUCUUAAAAUUUGAAAAGUACAAUAACUAAAAUAUCAAAUUAACUUAUAGGGAUUAAAUCCACAACUUCAAUAAAAUACAGGAAUUAAUGGUAGAAUUUAACCUUUAUAUAAUAAUUUCCUUGGUGAAAAAAACGCACAUUAUCAUUUCCUUGAAUGAACUUCAAUUUGUCCAUUGAGAUAUAAUCGGAGGGAGUGGAAUAUAUAUAAGAUAAUAUUUGAUGUAUUCGGUAAAUGGAGAAUAUUAAAUAGAGUGAGCAAGCCAUUCGCCUCACGGAACACAUUAACGAAAGACACAAGCUUAAUACAGUCACUAAAUCCAUCAAUUUCAUUAACAACCUGCUAAUAAUUCAAGACAAUUGUUGGGUCCGGAUGGAUUAUAUUUUAAAAUUUUCUUUCAAAAUACAGAAGUUCCUUUGACAAAAAUGAAAAUAUUAUUUAAUUAUAGGGUUAGUAAUUAGUACACUGAUAAUCUACUUAAUGCUAUUGAUUUUUUUUUAAUAUUAUACAACACCUUUAUAAAACACGUGUCAACCCUCUGACUCUGCUUAUGAAAUUUAAAAACUUCAAUGACAAUGUACCAACUAUUAUUCUUAAUUAUUAUACUAUUCAUGAUUUAAGGACAAAGAUCAAAUACAAUAUUUGCUUAAAAAUCUCUAAUAUAUAUGUAUAUAUAUAUAUAUAUAUAUAUAUACAUUUGCUCACUUAUUGUGAUGUAAUAUAGCACCAUCCAGCUAACCCUAGCUUUCUAGCAAGUAGUCGGAGGAAAUUAUUGAGAAAAUAUCAUUAAAUAUAUCAACAAUAAUUGCACUAACUUUCCGAUGUUAACUACUGACCUUUGCGUCAACCUUGAGCUUAUAUAGGCCCCCUACAAUAAUUUAGGCUAUGGAAAUAAUCUUACAAUUAAUGCCUGAGAAAUAAUUAUAGAUCAAUUUAUAGUUUUAAUCCCUAUAAUUACUCAAUUGAAUUAAAAAUUUUGUUAUUCUUAUUUAAUUUAAUUUGAUAUAUUCUGUUCCUCUUAUUAAUGUUAAUGUUUAGAGUCCCCGCUUGUACAUUGGUGAUUAGGUCUCUCACCAUUAAAUUAUUCUCUUAAGAACCUAACCUGCAAAUUCAUAACAUAAAAAAUUUACAGUCAAAUGUAAUCACACAAAUGACAUUCCUCACUUAAACAGAUUAAGUCGUUGCAAAUAUCUAAACAUAAUCAAAGUCGUCGUUAUGGCCCCAAGAGAAGGCACGUUAACUUGUCUCUCUCACACAUAGGAUGAAAUUAGUCUAAACCUAACCUUGGUAGAGCCGACCAUGUCGGGCAGACCACCCUACAUAAAUCUGAUUAUUUUAUCAUAGUUUAUUCAUCACUGAAGGAAGUAUGCAAAAUUAGGCAUACCAUUUAUCCUCACCUCUCUCGCUGACAAAAGAUUCAUGUUAAGUAUAUUCACCCUACAUAAAUUAUCAAGAGGAAUCACAGAUUUAAGGACCGUGGAAAAGAAUUCCAGAACCAGUUAUAUACAAGCAGGGCCUAUGACAUCCCCACUAAUUCUCAAUCAUAUAAAAUAAUAUAUAAUUAAUUCGUCUGGAAUGUUUAAGGCAUGGUGGUGAAUAUAUCAUGAGCGAUGUUGCUGAGUUUCUUCUGAAGAAUUGGCUAGCUAUUAGUGUCUAAAGGAUCUUUAGUUAUAUGGGGCUUAUGUUUCGGUUGCUUGAACAAUUGCUUUUCAGAGGGCAGAAUAGUAGAGGGGGGUUUUGGGGGUCUGGUGGUAUGGAGUUAUGAUGUUAUCAAUAUGAGAUUUUGGUGAUUUGUACUUGAUAAAGGGACACUUUUCGUGAGGGAUUGCUACAUUUUGCAGAUUAUAACAUUGUUUACAAGUGCUUAAAAUGUGUAAUAAUUUGAUCGAGAGAAAAAAUGACCAAAACAAAUGUUCUCAGCAUUUUUGCUUCAUUUAGAACUUGUAAUUAAUUUUUUUUAUCAGAGAAGUUGUAAUUAAUUGGAUUUGGAAUGAAUUGAUAAUAUCCUUACUAUUUCACCUUUUUUAUAUGUUUGGCGUGUGAGUAUGAUACAGAUUGAACUGGUUUUUAAAGUAGAAAUAAAACGAUAACAAACCAAAACAUUCUGGUUUUCAAAAUUUUGAAUCCAAAUCAAUCGAAUUAGUUUAAUUAUAAUUGAAUGUUUUAUGUGUUAUGAUGAUGAAGGAAGUUGAUGAGGUGACUUGCUUCAUCUUUCAAAAUAUGAGGUUCGUUUGAAGUUCUCUUUGACACAUCUUUACUAUUGUUUUUUAAUAACAAAUGAAAAGUCAAUUUAAAAAACAAAAAUCCAAACCAAUGAAUUUCUUUUAUACAUAUAAGAUAAGCUUACUGCAAAGCUCUUGUUUUUUCAAAAUAAAAUUUUGUUUUUGUUUUAUUAAUUUUGUAUGAAUCAAAUGAAGUUUAAUUUUUUUAAGGGUAAAUUAAACCAACAGUAACUCAACUUUGAUGCAGCUGACAAAAUAGUUGAUUUGGUUUCAAUUCAGUCACUCAACUUUCAAAAAAUAACAAAUCAGUCACUAACGUUACCAAAAAGUGACAAAUCAAUCACCCAUUAACAUUUUCCGUUACAGACCUAACGGGACAGGUGACAUGGCUAGUUAACUUGCCACGUUGACAUGGCAAUGCAUUUAAAAUUGGUCUAAUUAAGAAUUUGGUCAUUGUACAUUAUGAAAACAUAAAAAUUAUUUCAAUUGAGUAUCAAUAUUAAAUCUUGUCCAUUGACCCAAAAAUCAUCAUUUCAACAAAUUGUAUGUAAGAAAUUAGUGAAAAUCAACAAUUCAGUAAUUUAUAUCAAAAUUGAGGACUAGCUUUUCAUUUUUUUGUAAAUUACAUGGAUGACAUUCACAAUUAGACCUAAAUAGUGACAAAUUACAAAUUUAAACCCUAAAUACCUUUGUUCAGAGGAUCCGUAGCCAACAGAAUCAAUAAAACCGAUGGAGAUGAAACUCAUGCAUUUGGCGUGAAGAUGAAACUGGACAGAGUAGAACUCGCAUUGUUCGUCACCGUUGCAGGUGUCACAGUCACACGAGAAUCGCAUCGACAUGGCGCGUCGGCUAGUGAGAGGGAUUAGAUCAAGUCGAUGGGCAAUGAACUUGUCGUUGACGACGGAAGAGUUAACUUCAAUUUUGACGAGGUCGAUGGCUAUGUUGGGAACCUCGGCUAUCAUGACACGAUGGAGGGCAUUGGCCAUGGAGGCGUUGGUGUCAUGGCAGCAUAGUUGUCUUUGAGUUCUCGGAUUUUGACCCUUGGGAAUCGCUAGUAUGAAGCUCCUUCCAUUUUCUCUUCUUCUCCAUUUCUUCUCUUCUUCUUCUUCUUCUUCUUCUUCUACUGCCCAAGGCUCUUAAAUGGGGUUGUUUAAAUGACAGCUAGCCUACCGUUAAAUGUCAUGUCACUUUUCUGUUACAAACGUAACGGAAAAUGGUUAAAAAGAUUGAUUUGUUAUUUUUCAAAAAUUAAGUGAUUGAAUUGGAACUAGAGUGACUGUUUUGUCAAUUGCAUCAAAGUUGAGUGAUUGUUGUUGCAAUUUACCCCUUUUUUUUUAAUAGAGAUAAGCUUUGUGGUGGAAAUUUGUUAGGAAAGGAUGAUUGUAGGAAUGGUCCACAAAAUUAAUUGCAUUCCCUUUUCUUGAUGAAUUCUUAUCUUUGGGUCAACUCUUAGCUUAAAUACACUGCUAAAUUUAUUUUAGGUUGUACAAUAUAAAUGGAGCAAUUGAUGUCAGGAGAUAAGUUGGAAGUACAAUUAAAUUUUUUCAUAAGAGGAGAUGGGAUGAGAAGAUUUGAACCCAACAAUUAUUGGAAUUUAGAUUAUAAAAUUGGCGUGAAAUCAUGAAUUUAGAUUAUAAAAUUCUUUCCAUUUUAAUAAUCAUUUUAGAACUAGUUUGGUUUCCAAUCUAUAUUUUGUGUUGUGUUUUGUUUAUGUCAAAUUUUAAAGUAAAACUUUGAAAGUUAAAAUACAUUCUAAGUCCCUAUACACUUUGUACUUUUAGAAUUUAGUUCUCCUAGUUUUUAUUUUUAUGAAUUUAGUCUUUCUAUUUUUUGGUUUUCAAAAUUCAAGUCCCCAAUUAUUUUCACUGUUAAAAUUCUUCUAUUAAACUCACUAGUGUCACCUUUUGAAAUUACCAAAAAAAAAAUCAUUUUGUAGUCAUGUAAUAAUAAAGAAUAACGUUAAAAAUAAUGAUGUGGAUUUUUAUUUAAAAUACUCAUCCAAACUGAUCAUGAUAAAAUGACUUUUUUUUUUGUUGGAAUAGUGUUUUUAAGAAAAAUUGACGUCAAUAUUUUGAUUGGAAUAGUUUACAAUGUUAAUUAUUUAGACUAACUAAUGACAUUACAAAAAUAAAAUAAUGAAAUUAUGCCAAAAAUUAAGGAAUAUAAAUUAAAUCUCAAGUUUUAACAUAAUAUAGGGGCUAAUACUAAAAUUUGACCAUUAAUUUCCAUGUAAUAUAAAAUAAAAAUAAAAAAGUUGUGUGAAGCAGCCCAAGCUUAUGACAGAAAAAAAAAAACACGGCCCAAAGCUAAGGUUACGUGUUAGAAAGGGAAUGUCAUGAUAGGGGUGAGUAUUCGAUCAAGUCGAGUUAAAUUGAGUCAAAAAAGUUUAAGUUAGUCGAGUUUACGAAUCCUAUUUUAGUAACCGAACUCAAUUUGAAUUUUUUUUCUGAAUCAUAUUGAGUCAAAAAGUUUCGAGUCAAGUUGAGUCGAGCUAAAGAAUCCUAUUAUUUAUACUCAAAACUUAUAUUUACAUGGACCGAUUAUUUAACUAGUAGAUGAAGUACAAGAUUAUUUAACUACAUAAACAAUAUAAUGGUUUUGCCUUUUAACUUAAUGAGUAAAUAUUUAUCAAAACGAUAUAGUUUUGUCUUUUAAUUUAAUAGUUUUGACUUUUAACUUUGGAAAAGAUAAAUUCAGAUUUUCAGAUAACUCGAAUUGUGUAAUUCAUAUUCAAGUUGAAUAUAAAAACUUAAUUUUUUUAUUCGGGUUGAUCCGAAUAACUUGAUUAACUCAAAUAACUCGAACUAUUUAAUUCAAAAUUUAAAAUUUUUAUCAAAAUUUUCAGAUCAAAUCGAAUUUUGCUCACCCCUAGUAUUGGACAUUAUUUUUAUAUACGGGUGUAUAUAUAUGUGUGCGUGUGUGUGUUUGAUGUGAUUUCCUUGUGAGUUCCAUCUAUUUUUAGAAGUUUUUCCACGUAAAAUAUGUGUAUUUAAUAUUUUCAAUUCUUUUAUUAUUCUACUUGCUCGUUGCAAAUACGUUUGAUUCACAACAUUUUAACCUAAACUUAAUUGUAAAUGAUAAGAGAUAUUUUACGAUUAAAUAAAAAAAUUUAAACCACUAAACCAUUACCCUAAUAUGUCAAAACACAUGCAUUUUUUAAUUUCAAAAUUUAUGAAUUCCGAAGUAAAGAGCAUACGAUAUUUAUAUUAAUGUAAGAAAUGUAGGCUUGCUAAGUUUCGCAAAAUCAUAUUACACUUUUAAUUGAAUAUAAUGGUGGGAUGAUUCAAUUAUUAAAAACUAAGUUCGGGCAAAAAUGUAAAAAUAAUCUAAAAUUAAUUGAAUUAUUAUAAUAAAUUUAUAUAACUUAUGGAGUGAACCAAAUCAUGACAUAAUAUCAAAAAUAAUUAAGACAUGUCAUAUUACAAAUAAUAAAAACUCAACUUUAUAAGCAUAUCAAAAUUUAUUAUCAUGGCGUAUAAUAUGUUAUGAAAAAAGAAAAAAGAAAAAAGAAAAAAGAAAAAGAAGAGAGACAAUCGCUUCAUCAUGAGAUAUAAGCCCUUGAAACCAAAAGUUAGUUGAAGCUGUUAGGAUCGACUCAAUUAAGCAACAAGUAACAAAAAAUAGUGGAGUAAAUUGAGAAAUUGAACACACAAAUUUAACGUGGAAAACCCCUCCAAAGAGGAUAAAAACCACGGGCAAAAAUAAUUUUACUAUAAUGACAAAAGAAUGAAGAGUACAAAAGAUGGAGAUAAAAAGCUAAACCCCAAAAAACCCCAAAAACAAAGAACCCUCAAAACGUAAACACAAUGUAACGCCCCAGAAUUUUUAUUUUUGUUCUUGCAAAGGUAUAACACAAUUGUGUAUCUACUUUAGUGGUUAAGUGUUUUGGGUGUAUGAGAGGUCUCAAGUUCAAGCCAAGACUUGGCGAAAUUUUGGUAUUUUUAUGAAUAAGCUCUAUCUUUGGUCAGUAGGCUUUUAAGUAAGAGUCGACAAAUAAUUAAAAGAAUGAGCUUGUUCGUUUGGUGGAUAAGUGGAGUGUUGGUGUGAAGGAGGUUUUGUGUUCAAUUCUCUAUGGUGGCAUGGAGAUAGUAUUUUUGCUCCAAUUUUGGCUAAGAGUUGUGUUUGGGCAAAAUUCUGAGUAGUUGUGUUUUAGUGGGUUAAUAGGGAGUGAUUUUUGGAAAUAAUGGGGGAGAGGUUAUCAGAAAAUAAUCUGAUUGUCUUUUUAUUGCAUAAAAAAAGUAGAGUUUCGGUUUUCUCUCCAAUUACCCAAACUUUUUCUGACGUUUUCUUCUUUUUUUUCCCUCCGCUGUCGAUUCUUUCCCCUAGUUGUUGCCAAAAUUUCCAUUAUUUUUUCCCCUUCCAUUUCUUUCUUUUAUUUUCCAAUUGAUUUGGUUGUUUAUCGUUGGUUGCGUGUGUUCGGUAAGUAACGGUUUUGUCUAUUGUUAAUUGUUCUUAGUUAAUCUCUGAAAGGGGGAUUCCUUUUUGGUGUUUCGGAGUUAAUCAAGGGGCUAGUGGUUAUGAAUCGAUGCUGUGAUUGUGUGAAGUCAUGAUUACUCAAGCGAGGUAAGGGUUUUGUUAGGUUUUUAGUUGAGUUCCUUCCAAAAUUGGUUAAUUAAAAAUGAAUUAAGUGAUUAAUCUGGAGAUUUGUUGGUCGAUUUUUAGGUUAUGGAGGCUUAGGAGUGCUUACGCAUUAGAAAUGAUACCAGGUGUGUACCCGAAAAGCAGAAAAUGAGAUUCGGCGAAAAGCAUAAAUUGCUUGCUAUUUGGACAGCAGCAGUGGGCUAACUUUAAAAAAUCAUCAUAAAUUGUGAAAAUUGAAUUAAAGGAUGAAAAAAGUAUGGAAUUAAAUAUUAUUGAGUCUAGUUUCUCAUAGAGAAAUGGUGUAAGUAAUGGAAUUGUAAAUCGUGAGAUAUAAUAAAUUUUGUGAGACAAGGUCAGAAUGAAUUCAGGUUUCCCUUUUUUGACUUUGGAAAAUCAUUAAAAAUUGUAUAAAAAUGAUUAUGGGUUAAAAUUUAUAUGAUUAAAAUUCUUAAUGAGUAUAUUUUCAAGAGAAACAAACCUUAACAUCAUCUGAAUCUCGUACUAAGAGAUAAUUAAUUUUUAGAGAAGAAGGGUCGAAAUUAUCAGACAGCAGAACAGGGACAAUUUUGAAGAAUUAACUGUACUCAUUGGCUAAACCAAAAAUUCUAAAAAUUUUAAGGUAAGAAGAUAUGUGAGUCUGUUUUUCGGGAAAAUCAAGCGGAUCUUAAUUUUGAAUUCUGUAGCUCUAGUUAUAAAUAAUUUAGUGACAAUGACUCAAGUAGACAACUCUGAAUGAUCAUAUUAGUAAAUAGUGGAAACAUAUAUGAAUAUUUAGCUAGCAUGGGUUACAUUAAAAAUGGAUCACACGGCCAAGGCCAAUUUGGGCCGAGUGGGCCACGCGGGCACAUGGGCGUGUGGGUCCAUUUUUACCAAAAUGUUUCUAAGGCUGCACAGGUUGCCCAAGUCGACUGUGAACCUACUGUAAGGUCGGUAAGUGCUACUUAAACCCCUAAAUGUGUGAAAUUGACUGAAUGAUAUUUGUACUGAGCAUGUUAAUAUCUAAACUGAAUAUAUGUACUGAAAUUGCAUAAUAGCAUAUCAUCCAUGGUAUGUUGCAUUGCAUUGGGUUGAGGGUUGUUAUUUGGAGGAAAUGUACUAAAAGGCUUUAAGCCUAAUUUACUGGAAUCUUAGCUACAAACUACUGUUUUGUGCCGCAAUAUUCAAUACUACUUGAAGUGUAGGAAUGGGUGGGUUGAUUAUAUCCCCACAUGGUGUGUAGAGGCUGGUUGGCAAAUGGAGUUUUAGUAAGCACAAGCAUCGUCAUCUGUCCAUCAUAACUUGGAAGACAACAAAGAUACUCAUAAAAUAGAUCUGCAAACUGAAAAGAGAGAAGUCAUGUGGAGUGAAUAAGAAGAAGAAAGAAAAAAAGGUUGGUGGGAGGAAGAAAAAGGGUCGCGAUAGCCAAUCCGAAGGUUGUCAAUGCCAUUGGGCAAAAUAAAACAUAAUAAACAAACGGCUUGGAGAAAAAAAUUAAGAAAGAAGAAAAAAUUUAGGCAAAAUUUAUAUUAAUGUAAGAAAUGUAGACUUAUUAUGAUAUUACAUUUUUUAGUGUGAUCAUUCAAUUAUUAAAAAUGUAUUUAUAACAAAUUAUGUAAAAUUUUAUAUAAGCAUAUAAUAUGUUAUGCAAAGAGAAUCACUUUUCUUAGUUGAAUUGUUAUAACACAUUAUACAAAAUAUAUUUUAAAUUAAAGCAUAAUGUGAAUACGAUACCAACCAACAAAUUAAAUUCGAUGAUUUAUGGAUAAUUACAUUUAUUACUCAAUUUAAUUUAAUUCAAAGAGCUAUUGAAUACACAUAACAAUUAAUUAUGAUUAAACUUUAAAUUUCACAGAAAAUAAAAAGAAAUAGAUUGUUGAAAAUGAUAAAAUGGAAAGAUAAAGCUACAAACUUCCUCCCCACAAACCUAAGAGCUUUUUAUUCAAAAUGCAGAAAUCAACAAAAUAGUCCUCACAAUCCAACUUAGCAUAGUAAAACAAUUAGGUGGGGAAAUCAAAUAGUAAAUUCCUUUUUCCUUGAAUCAACACCAACCGACUUUGUUGAAAUCUUCACUAUAGCUAAUCACAUUGCCUGAAGAUGUGAUAUGUAAGAAAAUUGGCCAUUGUUGAGUAACGACAGGUUGUGAUGCACUUUCCAAUAAAAGAAAACCAAACACUUCGCCAAUAAGGAUUUAUGUAAAGAACAACAAAAAUUGUCAAGACCACAACUAUAUAAGAAACCAGGAAGCUCACACAAAAAUCAUAUGUGUCUAGCAAACUGUCCUCUCCUUCAUCAUCUAACGAAUUUGAUCUAGUUGAUGGUGCAUCUGGUUUGGAGCAACUUUUAUGCAAAAUAGUUCCACAAAGAAAAGGGUUUCCCUCGUAACUACUUUCAAUAAAGGUCCCAAAUUGAGCUUUUGGUUCAGGAAUACUACCUGACAAGUUGUUGUGUGCCACACUAAAAACUUCCAAAGAGUUCAACUCUACCAACUGAUUGGGGAUUUCACCACUCAAGUUGUUGUAAGAAAGGUCCAAACUCUCAAUUUGAUGAAGUUUUGAGAAUGAUGAAGGUAUAACUCCGAUCAACUUAUUGUGUGACAAGUUUAAAGAAUAGAUUUCACUUAAGUUCCCUAAUUCUGGUGGGAUAUGACCAGUUAAGUUGUUGCAAGAUAAAUCAAUCCCGGUCAUAUAUGCAAGGAUGUUGCCCUCGUACGAAUACAACCCACUCUUUGUUGUGAACUCUAUUACUUCUUCUAAAUUCUAUUACUUCUUCUAAGUAGCUGUCAGGGUAGUAAGGAUUUAUAUCCCUUUCCAAUUUUCUCAUCGCAAUGGAUGUUGAUUCAUCCUUUUCUGUAAAUGGAAGAUAGAACCCAGUUGCUAGACUCUCUUUCUCUUUCAUUGGAAGAGAUAAAUUUCCCAAACAAGAAGGUAUAGGACCAGAAAACAUAUUUUGAGAAAGAUCUAUGAUGCUUAAAGAAUACAACUUGCAUAACUGAAUUGGAACUUUGCCAUGAAAAUGAUUAUCUUUCAAGAGAAGAACACUCAAAGAAGAAAGUGUGUCAAUCCAUUUUGGCAUGCUACCUGUCAAAUUUUUUUCUCUAAGAUCUAAAGUCACUAGUGAAGAGCUAUUAUAAAAAGCAAGUGAUAGUGGACCUCUCAGUCUAUUCCCGUGGAGGUGGACAUGCUUUAUGUUUGGUGGAUUAAAACAUGACGGUAUAGAGCCAGAUAAAUUAUUUUGAGAAAGAUCCAAAAACUCCAACCAAUUCAAGUUGCAAAAUUCCAUUGGAAUAGAACCCUCGAAACCAUUGUUGGACAAAGCCAAUCUCAAUAAAAAUGAUGCAUUCCCUAUCCAUCUUGGGAGCUUUCCAUGCAACUGGUUGUUACUGAGAUCAAUAUCGCUUAGUGAAUUUGGAAACUCAAAAGUAGACACAUCAACAUUUGUCACCUCUCCUGAAAAUUUAUUUCCAUCCAAAUAUAAAUUCUGCAGCCCAUUUGCUUUGAGAAUCGCAGGAACUACAUUUCCACUGAAGUUGUUAUUUGAUAGUCUCAAAAUGGUCAGUGAGCCUUUCGUGAUCAACUCUUCUGGUACUUUUCCAUACAAUUGAUUGUUUGAUAGAUCUAAAAUUGAUAAAUCCUUCAUGCCACUUAAACAAAGUGGGAUAUUACCUUCAAAAGCAUUCUUGGAUAAGAAUAACCGACUCAAAUGUGGAAAAGUUGAACAUAUACUGGUCGGAAUUUGACCUUGUAUUUUGUUUUCAGAGAUGUCAAUUGAAGAUACAUUAGAAAUAAGAGCUGACGAAAAUGAGAGAGGACCUGUAAAAGAAUUGCCCUUCAAGAUGAGAUCUUCUAACUUUGUGUUGUUUUCUAACAACCAAGUUGGGACCGUUCCACUGAAAUUGUUAUGAGAAAGAUCCACAUAUCUCAAGUCAUAUUGGUAGUAAAGGAAGGUAGGAAGCUUACGACUGAGCUGUUGAGAUGUUAUGCACUUUGACAAACUGAUGACUUCCAAUUGGAACUUUGGGAUUGAGGUAUAAAAGGAAGGUUCCGUUACCAUCUUGUUUUCAUUACUCAAGAGGGCUUUGAUAUUUGAAAGGUUUGCAAAUGGUGCGAAUGACAACGGAAUUUGAAAAUGGUUUCUUGAAAUAUCUAACACACGAAGAGCUGUCAAGUUACUAAAACAAUGAGGAAGCAUCCCCUCCAGUGCAUUCCCACUCACAUCCAAUACUUCAAGAUUCCUUAGAUCACACCAUCCUGAAAAAUUGAAAAAAUUGGUGGAAGAAAUUCUAAUUAAAUUUGGUCUUAUUUAAGAGAAUAUGAGAUAUUACACAAAGCUCAUACAAAAUUCAAUUUGAGCCAUAAAUUUAUUUACCUUGAUUAGGUAGGGGACCAAUAAGUCAACAAUCAUAUAAAGAUAAUGUUUUAAGAGAAACAAGUACUCCAAUGCUUUGCAAAAUAUUGGUGUUGAGAGUAGAAUAGUCAAGAUAUAUUUCCUCCACAUUUCUCGACACAUUUGAUUCUAAGCAAUGUCUAGAGAUAUUAGAUAACGAUAUUGUAAAUAGAAAAUUAUAAUUGAUCAUGAGAAAGAAGUUCAUAUUGACGAGAAAUGCCGAGGACAGCAAUCGCCAUCCCAUGUCAAAAAAAUCAUUUGAGAUAAAUAAUGUUUGAUUUUCUCAGUCUUUUAUUUUUUGUGAAUGAAAAGAAAUAUAAUUUACUUGAAGUUUUUUUAAUUAUUCGAAAAUGCCAUUUAUUUAUUUUAGGCCAAAAAAUUCCAUUUAUUUAACUGUAAUAUAUAUUUUUAUGUUUUAUAUUAUUAAAACCAUAUGAAAUUAAAAUGAUAGUUAUAUGACAUAUUUUUCCAUAAAUAUGAGUAUUUUUUAUUUAUAAUAUUAUUUUUUUAUUUUUAUAAUUAUUUUUUAUCUCAUAAAAAUUUAAUAAAUUAUUUUGAAAUUAUAUUUAUACAAACAAAAUAAUUAUGAACUCUAAUAUUUUAAAAUUAUGCAAAAUUUAAAAUAUUUUACUUUCAAACCGAAGACCAUAGGAUUUAUAAAAUGUUUCACCGAACCCAUAAGCUGAAUUUUUCCAUGUAUGAUAUAAAACAUAAAGACAAGGAUGAGCAACACAAAGACAGAAAAUUAUUAUUUGGUAGUUUGUUGAUUUACUUUAAGGAUUUAGCAGUUUCAAUCAUGUUCCUGUUAUGCUUUGAUUUUAUUUAGGUUCAUCCAUGUAAAACAAAGAAACAAAAACAUUAAUUAGUUGAAAAAUAAUUAAUUGUGUUAUAACAUAAUCCAAACCUUGUAUUAACAAAUAUUCUGUUUUUUAACCUUUUUCAACGAUGAAGUGGGGAGCACCGAUUCAGGGGCCAAGCAACAACUUUGUAUUGGAGGAUCGAUAUAAAAUUAUUUUUUUUGGAGGGACUAAAGUUAAAAUUAUUUGUGUUAAAAUUGUUGAAAUUGAAUUUUUAAUGUUUAAAGUGACUCAAAAUGCAAUUUUUAUGCAUAUAAUUAAAAAGCUACAGAGGAUUAUAUUGAAUAAUUAAAUUUUAAAAGGACUAAAAAGGGUAUUAUACCCUUGAUUAAAAUAUGUCAUAGGUCCUUGUACUUUUCAAAAAUUUGUAAUUUAGUCGAUAUACUUUUAUUUCUAAGGAUUUAGGCCCUCUACAUUUUCAAAUUUUAGAAUUUAAGUUCAAUUGUUAACAUUAGUUUUUUUUCCAAUGUUUUGAAAUAAAGAAAAUAUUCAAUUGGUAGCAAUGUAACUAAAAAAAUAGCAUUAUAAUGAACCUAAAUUUAACAAAAUAAUCUUAAUAGUGUCAACAAUUAAACUUAAAUUUUAAAAUCUAAAAAGUAGAGGGAUUAAAUUCGUAAAAAUAAAAAUAUAGAGACUAAUUUACAAAGAGUAUAAGGAUUUAUGUUAUAUUUUAACCUAUACCCGUUAGCCUAGGGGGGCCAAGACCUCUGUCUACCCCUUUGGCUUUUCCUCUACACCAAUUGAACAUUAGUUUAAUUGACAUUGUUGAUAUUGCAACAACUCUUUUUCUUUAUUUUCUUCAUCUUAUGAAAAAUGUUAAUUUUUAGUUUUGGACAUUUUUAAUAUGCUUAAAUUUGAGAUUUAAUUAUUAUCCUUUAUUUCUAAUUUAAAUUAAGCUUUAUAUUUUUAUAAUUUUACUAGUUAGUUCAAAUAGUUAAUUCAUUAACUUUUCAAUUAAAAUAUUAUGUAGUUAUAUAUUAUUUAAAAGUGGAUUUUUAAAUAGAUUAAAUUCUUAAAAAUAAAAGUUGAAGGAAAAAAAAUAAAAUUUAAACAAAAACGAAAGUUUAGUCAAAUGAUACCUUUAUGGAUCAUAAAAUCUAUCAAUUCAUUUGCCCUCAUAUUCAAAUGCAUCCAAAUCUGGAAAAAAAAGGGUAACAUAUAAACCUCAUUAUAUUAUCUUAAAACAUUAUUAAUGUUUUUGUUAAUUGAGUCAAGAUUUUGGGAAAAGAAAAUGUUUUUACCUUUUGCAUCUAUUGGUCCUUUCAAUUGAUUGCUUAUGGUCAAAGUUUUCAAAUUCAAAAGCUUGUUAAGAGAUGCAAAGACACUAUUAUUGAAGAGAUUGGAAUUUAAAUUAAGCUCUUUUAAGUGCGUCAAUUCCGAUUUUCUACCACCAUCUGCAAAAGAUUUACAUAAGUUCAUCACUGAAAAAAAUUAGCAUAAAAUUUAAUUAUAUAUAAAAACUUAGAUAACUCAUCAAAUAUAAAUACAUACCUUUGGAGGAUUGAAGGCUUUCAAUUUGAUUCUCGCUUAGAUCAAGUUUCUUCAAGUUUAUCAAAUUACUCAAUCCUAUAUAUUUUCACGUCCAAUUCAAAUAAUUAUGUUAAUAAUUUAAUUUUUACCGAAUAUUUGAAUGAGUUUCAUAAAAUAAAAACAAAAAAUUGGUUUGUUAGGCAAUUUUUUUAGGUGUUGUAGAAAUUUUAAGUUCCUCCAAGUUUAUUAUGCUUAAUUGUUUUUCAUCUAUAGUAGGAAGAAGAAUAGUUUCUAAUUAAUAUUAUAGGCUUUGAAUAUUUUAUAAGUUCAUCCCUUUGAAAAUUUAAUUUAUUCAAUAUAUAAAAAUCAUACUUGUACCUUUGUUUGAGAUGCUUUCAAUUCUGUUCCCACUUAAAUCCAAGUAGUUCAAGUCUGUCAAAUUAUUCAAUUCUGAAAUUCAAUCCUAAAUAUUGAUUAGUUAUAUAUAUUCAUGAUAUGAUAAAAUCAAAUAACAUAUUGCAAGUUUGCAACAACUUUUCCUUCAACAUAAAUUGAUUUUAAAGUACAAAAGAAACAAGUAAAAUCAAUCUACCUUGAAUAUGAAGCAGCCUUCCUUCCAACUGAUUACUACUCAAUCUUAAAGUCUUCAAGGAUGAAAGAUUUCUCAUAUCGAAUAGAAUGCUAUUCUUCCAAGAAUUCCCACUUAAAUUAAGAGUUUCCAAUUUAGUGAGUCUUGAAAGCCACUGAAAACCUGAUUUAUAUACUAUAUAAUUAGUUACUACUAAACAUAAUAAAUAAUAAUACUCUAAUUUUACAAUAAAAAUUUACUAAAAUCUGUCAUUGCCUGUUGGAAUAAUAGUCUAUCAGAAAAGUCAUGCACAAAUACUUAUACCUUGGUUUGAGAUGCUUUCAAUGUUGUUGUAACUUAAAUCCAAGUACUUCAAGUUUGUCAAAUUAUUCCAUUCUGAUGAAAUUCAAUCCCAAUGUUGAUCAGUUAUGUUUUCAUGAUAAGAUAAAAGCAAAUGAAAUAUUGCUAUAGCUUUUUCUUAAACCAAAUUGAUUUUAAAGUAAAAGGAAGCAUGUAAAAUAAGUCUACCUUGAAUAUGAAAUAAUAUAUAAAUACUAUAUUUAUACCUUUGUUUGAGAUGCUUUCAAUUUUGUUCCCACUUAAAUCCAAGGACUUCAAGUUUGUCAAAUUAUUCAAUUCUAAAAUUCAAUCCCAAAUGUUGAUCAGUUAUAUUUUCAGGACAAGAUAAAAGCAAAUGACAUAUUGCAAUAACUUUUCCUUAAACCAAAUUGAUUUUAAAGUAAAAAAGAAACAGGUAAAACCAAUCUACCUUGAGUAUGAAUCAACUUUCCUUCCAAAAGAUUGUAUCUCAAACUUAAAGUCUUCAAGGAUGAAAGAUUUCUCAUAUAGACCAUAUUGCUAUUCUUCAAAGAAUUCCCACUUAAAUAAAGAGUUUCCAAUUUAGUGAGCCUUGAAAGCCACUGAAAACCUGAUUUAUAUACCAUAUAAUAAGUUACUGCAAAACAUAAAUAAAUAAUAAUACUCCAUUUUUUAGUUAAUUUGAGUAAGUUCUUGUUAGUCUUUUUUUCAUCUCAACCAUAUGAAAAAUUAUUGAAGCAAAAACUAAGUUACAGGGGAUAAAAGAAUGGAAAAUCACUGUCAAACGUCACAAUACAAAUAAAAACUAACAAUAGACCAAACUUAAUUUACCUCUUGGAUGACUUGAUCCUUCGAACCGGUUGUGUGAUAAAUCUAAAUAUCGGAGAGACGAAAGCUCACUCAAAGAUAAUAGAAUGCUAUCAUUCAAGUGAUUGUAACUUAAGUAAAGGAUCUCUAAAUUACUUAAUGUGGGUGAUAGCUUUCCAAAACCUGUAGGAGUGUUCUUUUAAUUAUAUACAAGUAAUUAAUGACUUUUCUUCAGUAAAAUAAAAUAAAUUAUAAGUAAUUGCAAACUAACAAUGAAUAGAGAAAUAGAAUAAUAAAAUAUGUAAUUAAGGGAAAAUUAAAGGCACGACCUUCAUUUUCUAGGUUACCACCUAUGGCAUUCUCUGACAAAUAAAGACUCUUCAAUUUCUCAAAAGGAAGAAACAUAGAGGCAUUGAGAUACCAAUAAUCCAUGUUGUAUUCCCAUUUUGUAGAAUUAAGGGAGAGUUGUAUGACUCUCCUAGUGAUGGAGUUGCACUUAACUCUUUCCCAUUUACAGCAAUCUGAACCCUUCAGAUCAACCCAACUUUUCAAUGGGUUACCAUAAUUGAAGAAAGGUUUGAGAUGCAAGAGAGCGAUUCUCUCAUGCUCCAAACAAGCAUCAGUAGUACACCACCUACAUCCUUCUAACACCAACAACAGUACUGCCAUCCUAAUAAACCAUAACCAUUUCCACUCCAUCAUCAUCAUCUUUCUGUUUUCCCUUCUCUCUCAGCUAUAUGUUACUUUUUUAACUUCUAUAUGUAUAUAAUCUGCAGAAGCCUAAGCAGGACCUAUGCAUCCCACUAAUUCACUGUAGUAUUAAAAUAACAUAUAAUUAAUUAGUUCCUCAAAAAUUGAAUGAAUCUAGACUUGUGCUGCUCUAACUUAUACGUUAGGAAAUAAAUGUUGACACAAUUUUUUGUUUUAUUUAGAAGUUGUAGUUAACUAUAUUUGCUUGGAAUGAAACUGAAUUCAAAUCAAUCAAAUUAAUUAUAAUAAAAAAUAAAAUAUCAAAAAACUGUUCAAAAUAUGAGUUAUGUAGAAGCCCUGUUCGACAUAUUUUAACUUUUAUUCUUUAUAUAAAAAUGAGAGUUACAAUAAAUAGUAAAAAGAAAAUCUAAUCAAAUGCACUUUUCCAUAACAAAAUUAAUUGCAUUCCUUGUGGAAAAUGAACUCUUGACUUUGCCGACCAUCCUCGACUGAAAUAGGCUGCUAAUUUUAAUUUAGACUGUAGAAAAAAUUUUAACCCAAUUAAUGUCAUUUGAAAUUAAAAUUACUUUAUAAACCUUUUGUUAGCCCUUAAAUUAAUAAACCUUUGUAAAAAUAGUUAUUGUAGCUAAUUGAGUUUUAACUCAAUCGGUAUUGGUAUUGUUGUCAGUAAAAGAAGACGUAAGUUUAAGUGUGCAGAAACGUGUGUUUUCUCCUAUUUAAGGAUUAGGGUGGAUUAUGAAUAAUUCUUUGAAUUGUAUUAACUUAGAAGCUUUGAGAUACUCACAAUUGAAUUAAACAUUCAAUAUAUAUAUUUAUCUUAUUUUUUUUUCUAUUUCCGAUAAAUAAGAAAAGAUCAUUCUUUACGCCACCAUACGAUUUUAGUAUCACAAUCAAAUGAGACUUUUAAAAGUCUUAACACUAUACAAGUAGUUAGUCGACAAAACUUGCACUAAUUUACUCUUUACGCCGAAAUUAUUUACAAAGUGCAAACAACAUUACUUUCACACUAAUUUUUUCCUUCUAUUUAUGUGGGAUAAAUAUCAAAAUUAUAUAUGAAUUUUAAUUUAAUGUGUAAUAUUAUAUAUAAAUUUUGAUUUUGUGUAAUUUUAAAAUGAAAUUUUGAUUUGAUUUAAUUUUCACAAAUCAUUAACAACAUCAUCGAAUUAGUACUAUAUUACAUUGAUAUAUUGCAUGCACAAACAGGUAUACUAAACCAAUAUGAAAAUAAAUAUAUGUAUUCAUUUAUUUAAAUGUGUACAAUUGAAUCAAAAUAAAAGUUUCAUGUAUACAUAUGGAUCACAAUUCAAGUUUCAUACAUAUAAUUGUACCAAAUCAAAGUUCAUAUAUCAAAUUGCACAUUAAGCCAAAAUUUAUGUAUAAAUUUAAUAUUUAUCCCAUUUAUGGGAGAUUAGCUUUCCAAUGGUAUUGUUUUAUUUACAUUAAUCCAAAUAAUUGGAAAUGAUGAAUUAGUUUAACGAAGAUUGUAAUUCUAUUAAUGUUUCUUCUCGAAUUUUUGGUUGCUCUUAUUAGCAUGUUUUAUUAAUUGAUAGAUUUAAAUUCUUGGAAUAUAUUCUAAUUAAUUAGAUAUUUCCUUCCUUCCAAAAGCCUUUCAAAAUAGGUUUAGUUCGACCAAGAUACUCUUGUAGAAAAUUUUAGUUUUGUGGGAAAAAGAAAACUAGAUUUAUUUUUUACUCUAAUUGGUUUUAUAUGCAAGGUAUAUAAACUUUUGUGUCGCUGCAAUUUUUUUCCAACAUAUGUAUGUGAUUUGUGGGGUUUCAAUUUUGAAUUUUUUUUUACAAUUUAAUUAAAUUGUGAAAGUAUUUGAAAGUAUUUGAGUUGAUACAAUGUUUAGAACUACCCCAACACCCACCUAACCCUUAAAUAGGAGGAUAAACACGCUUCAGCACACUCGAACUCACAUCCUCCUACACCGAUGAUAAUACUAAUGCCAACAGAGUUAAGACUCAACCAGCCUUGAAUUUUGAAUUUUACUUCUUACACAUUUUGAAUUUUGAAAUUUUAGUUUUGACCCAAACAGUAGCAGUUAAAUCAAUUUGAUUAAAUUUAAUUACUAGUCCUAUAUUAUGCGUACGAUUAUUGAUUAGUCUAUACUCUCAAAUUGGGCAAUUCUAAGUACCUAUACUUUCCGAAUUUUGAAAUUUCAGUCUUGAUGCAAAUGACAAUUAUUAAUCCAUUAAUUUGAUUUUUAGUGAGUAAUAUGUGAAAAUAACAAACUGGUAUAACAUUACACAUAUGAUAAUAUGUUUAUUCCACCACAUUUGAAAAUAGCCGAAUUUAACAAAUAUUGUUAGUGAGGAUUGGAAAUUAGAGUCUAGCCCCCUACAAUAAUUUAGGUUAUGGAAAUAAUCUUGCAAAUAAUGCUUGAGACAUCAUUAUACAUCAAUUUAUAGUUUUAAUUCUUAUACUUACUCAAUUGGAAUAAAGAUUUAGUUUUUUAUUUUCUUUUAAUACAUUGUCUAGAAUCUUUAUUCCAAUUGAGUAAGUAUAAGAAUUAAAACUAUAAAUUGAUGUAUAAUGAUGUCUCAAGCAUUAAAAAUAACUAACUUCAUUAAAAAAUUCAUUAGUUGGCUCUCUAAGACUUAAAAAUUAAAAUUAUGUGGUUAUUAAAAAAGAAUUAUUUUUAUUAAAUUAUUAUUUAAAAUAAAUUUAUCUCAUCAUAAUGAUAUGAAUUUUUUUUCUUUAAAAAAUCCACAUUAACCGACUAAUAGAAUUGUAUAAAGCUGCCACCAAUCUCUUGGCAUGAUGGCAAAAGAUUCAGAGGCAAGCCAGAAAGUUUUUUGAGAGGAGUGAAUAAAGUUAUAUCUUUUUAUUAUAGUAAAAAUGAAAUUUUAUUAUUUUAAUAAUUUAUAUUUUUAUAAUUUUUAAAAGAUUAAAUAAAAUUUUUUUUUAUUUUUGAGGGGAUAAAGUAUAAGUUUAUCAUAUACUAAUUUAAAAAUUUUAAAAUUAUAAAAAGACUAAAGAUGAAAUUUUUCAUUUUAGGGAGAUGGGGCCCUGCCAGGUCCCUUGACUUCGCCUUGAUAAAAGUAUUAUGUUGCAAGUAUAAAGUUUGAGUUUAAUCUCGAACAAUCUCAUUUCUUAUCCCUAAUUAUAAAAUAAUAAAAUAAAUAGAGCAAUUGAUGUGAGGAGGCAAGUGUAAUAGGUCAAUUUUGACCUGGGCCAGAUUUCAAAACAAAACCCAAAUUAAAUAAUAAAAGAGUCCAAAAUAAUUAAAACAAUCCAUCCAUUUUACAAACAAACCCAAAUUAGCAGCCCAAAUACAAAUUAAAACUCAAUAACUCAAAACUAACCCUAGCCCAAUUAGCUCAACACUUAAACACAACAAAAAAACCCCUAGCCCCCUAAGCCUCCAACGCCGCAUGACCACCUGUGCCGCACGCCGCCGCCGCUCAAGGCUUGCCUAUCACCGACCAUCCACGCGUCUAACACUUGCAAAACCAAGGCAACAUGCAACAACAAAGGCCAAAUAGAGGAAACAACAAGGAAACAGACAAAAAAGGAAGAAACAAACAGUUUUGAUUUGGCUACAAAAGCCCGAAUCUCACCCUUGUAAUUUUUUCAAGAACAUUAGAAAAUAAAAAAACAAAAACAACACUUUCAAGGUGAAUUUCUACUUUUAUUUCUGUUUUAAAUACCUAUUUGAUUCUAUAUUCAUAUUUUUAUUUGAUUUUAUAUAUAUAAUAAAAUAAUAAAAUAAAAAAAGGAAGAAAGGGCUCACCGGAGACGCCCCGUGACCGCGCCGUCGGAGGGCUCUUCUCCAUUGUUGCCAUCGAAUCCGAGAGAGGGUCGGGAGUACUCCUCUUUUGUUUUUUUUGGGUCGAGAGGGCUGGGCUUCCAAGGGAGCUGUGAAACGGGGGCUAAAAACGACCUUUUGCGCAACGCCGGCCACCGGCCACAGGCCACAGCGGCGCUGCGGCGGCAACCCUGGCCUGCCAAGGGGUGGGCUGAGAGAGAGACCAAGAGAGACUGAGAGAGUUCUCUAUUUUUUUAGAAAAAUAAAAGUUGAACUGUUUUUUUCUUUUUCUUUUUGCUAUUUAUAUAGGGUAUAAAACUGCGUCGUUUUGGACUUAAGCAUCAGUGGCCAAAAUGACGCUGUUUUGCAUCAGACCCGAAAGCCAACCCGAAUGCAGUCAGGAUCCUAGCGCAUUUUAGCUUUGAGGAGCUAUUUGCAUAUUCAACCCUUCCGCUUUUGCAAUAUAGUGCAAUUUGGUCCUCGUUGUUUUUAUAUUUUGGCCGCAUAAUUUUCUGAUUGUUUUACUUUGGUUCGAGCUAAAACGCUACGCAUGGGGGCUGGGAAUAUUUGCCAGUCGGUCCCUCAUUCCUUAAGCACGCUCUAUUUCAGUCCCUAGGCUUUUUUUAUUUAUUUGCAAUUUGAACCCCAAAUUUUGGGUCGAUUUCAGUAUCAUCCUUAGUCCAUUUAAUUUAUUUGUUCAUUAUUAUUUUUUAUUUAAAAAGCUCUUUUAUUAUUAUUUGUUUUAAGUUUUUUAUUUAUCAUUUACUUUAAACUGUUUUACAUACUAUUUAUUUAAAAUUUUUUUAUAUUAUUCAUUUUAAACCAUUAUAUGUACAUUAUCUUUUAAAUUCUUAUAUACAUAUAUAUAUGUCGAAACCGUUUUUUUGAAAACAAAAAUUUUUAGUUUCGACUUAAAAAUAAAAACUGGAGUCGCCACCGAUCCUUGAUUGAGGUGUGACCGGCUCACCUUAAAAACAAUUUUGGUCUACGAGAUUUGAGAAAAUGAGUCCGGGAGUCAGUUACGCACGAGGAAGGAUUAGCACCCUCGUAACACCCAAAAUCGGUACCAAAUUGAUUCUUUAAUGCCUUGGUGUCGAAAAUUUGAAAAGAUUUUAAAAGGAAACUUUUUAUUUCAUGAAUGAAUCAAAAUAAUAAGACAUUCUUAUUUCAAAGAAAUAAAACACCACACCCAGUGAGUUAGGGCACAAUAUUUUUAAAUCUUCAAAAUACCCGAAUAUUACCUUUUGCUUUUGAAAAUUCUUAUUUCGAGAAGUCAAAAUAUCAGGACCAGUAAGUUAGGACCCAACAUUUUUGAACUCCCAAGAAUAAGCUUUUAUUUAAAAUUUACGAAUUUAUUGCAAAACAAAUACUUGGCUUUCUAAAUUCAUCGAAAAAUAAUCACGAUCCAGUCAGUUAGGACACGAUCUUUCUCGAGAAUCAUGAAUGCCAAAUAUUUUGGAAAUUUGUAAAAUAUGAUGAUUUUAAUGCCUUGACGAAGCCAAUAUAUAUUUUCUUUAAAAGCAUGAUAAAAUGUUAAUGCAUAACAUGAAACCAAUACUUUAAUUUAAAUCGUAUGUAUAUAUGUAUUUGCAAAUCGCGAAAAUAAAAUAAAUAUAAAUGUAUGGAUAUGUCAUGAAAAUAUGUGUGCAUUUAAAUAUAUGUAUAUAUGUACAAUAUGUAUAAAACCAUGAAAUAUAUAAAAUAAUAAAGAAAAAUGUGUACGUAUAUGUAACAGAGAAUGCAUGUAUGCUUUAAAUUAUAAGAUAUAGGAAAUAAAUAUGUUACAACAAUGUAUAUCUAUAUAAAAUAUAAAUGUAUAUAAAAGUAAGUAAAAGUUAUGCAAGUAGAAUAAUAAAAAAUAUAUAUAUGUAAGGUGCAUGGGUUUAUAAAAAUUAUUUUUAAGAAAAAAUGUAUGCAUAUAUUAUUGUAGAGAAUAAGCAUAUGUAUAUAUAUAGUAAUGGUAAUAAUAAUAAUGAUAAUAAUAAUAAAAAUGAUAAUAGUAAUAAUAAUAAUAAUAAUAAUAAUAAUAAUAAUAUAUGACAUAAUUAAUAAUAUAAAAAACAACAAAUUAAGGAUUAAAUUGGAAAUAAGCGAAGUUUUGAAACUAAAUUUAAAGAUGGGAAUUAAAUAAGGACCAAAUUAAGAUGCGCGCAACAGUAGGAGGAUCGAAAAGAUAAUUUGCCCAAACCUCCCAAAUGCUGCGCAGCAACAUGGACCAAAUUGAAACAGUAUUAAAACAUAUGGCCUAAUUUAAAAAAAUAAAAAGACGGAUUUAAACACCCCUCAUAAAACAGAGGACCAAAUGUGAAAUUGUCCCCUUUCACAGAAAUGCGCGGAUCCUUCCCCGGGUCGGGUCACCGCACGGGUCGUAGGGCUGAAACGGCGCCGUUUUUGUGCUUACCCUUCGGCCCAAAACAGUGCCGUUUUCGGUAAGCUAUAAAUACAAUGUUUUUUUUUAAAAAACUCAUUGUUCUUUCUAUUUCAAAAAAAAAACAAAAAAAAAAUUUCCUUUUCUCUCAAGCAGGCCCAAAAUCCGGCCAAACUCCGGCGAGUGGCCACUGCGCCGUUCACGGCGGCGGGGAGUAAAAAAUCUCGCCUUUUUUAAACUGUUUUUAGAUCCCGUUCAAUAGUCAAACUGCUUUGGCUCAAAAGGAUGACCCUUGGCCCCUUCUCCUCUCGGAUCCGACGUUCUUGAAGGAGGAGAGCCCUCCGACGGUGAACCCGCAAGGCAAAUCAGGUAAGCCCGUUCCCCUUUUACUUCUUAUUUAUUAUGCGUAAAAAAAACAAACAGAAAGAGCAAACAAGGAAAAAAAAAACCGAAUCUAAGGGAAAAAAAAACCUCCGUUUUGUAUUUUAUUUUUUCAAAUCUUUUUUCUUCGUAUUUUCCUCUCUAUUUUCGUAUGUCUUUACACUCAAGACCCCCCUUUUCAGAUCUCCCCCCACGGCUUUUAAAUAGUCGAAAAUAACAACAAAAUAAGCAACAAAAUCAUAUCUCCCUUCAAUAUUGGUUGCGAUUUUUGCUACUACUCUGCUAUUGCUGCGCCAUAUGCUUCUUUUUCGCAGGUGUGGUGGCUGUUGAGUGCGUGGGAGCGACAAGCGCGAUGUGCGGCGCUUGCGGAGGGGUGGUGCGCAGGGUGAUGCGGCGCUGAAGCAGAAAGGGCUAGGGUUUCUGGACUGGGCUAGGGUUAAUGUAAUUGGGCUAAAUUUUUGGGUUUAGUCUGUAGAUGGGUAAUUGGGUCUGCUAUGUUUUUAUUUUAUAUGGGCCCGGGCAGAAAAAUUGGGUAUUACAAUAUAUAUUAAAAAAAACUGUUGUAUGUUUCUUAUUUAUUUAUUUUAAACUGUUAUUAUUAUUCAUUUUAAGUUUUUAUAUACUGUUUAUUUGAAGCCUUUUAUUAUUUAUUUUUGAAUUGUUCUUAUAAAUUAUUUAAUUUAAAUUAUUAUUCUUUGAAUUUUUUUUUUUGCAUAUUAUUUUGUUUUGUUUUCUUUGAUUGUUAAUAUUAGUAUAAAAAAUGAUAUACAUUGUGUGACUAUUACCAUCAUGUGUACUAUAAUUAGUUUCUUCGUGUUUUCAUAUUAUUAUCACUCAUUAACAUAUAUAACAUUUUUUCAUAAAUUGUUAUUUUAUGUUCUAUGUUAUCAUUCCAUUUCACUUCAUCACUUUGAAAUUAAGUUGCCUUCAAUUUGUGUUUACCCAUAAUAAACCGUUCUAUUUUGUCACAAAUAAAACAAAUGCACCUCGUUCAAGCAUUGUACUCGCAAUUAUUCAAAAAAGAGAAAAAUUUUAAAAUAAGGCAAUAUUUCGCAUUUUGGAGAUUCGAGAAAUUGUACCCUAACUUACGAGGUUUCAAUUUUCUCAUUGAACCUAAAUAGCAAAAUAUCUUUCUAAUUUUCAAAAUUUACGAAUUCCAAUAAAGUUAAAGGCUAGCUUAUUCUCGAGGGUUUCAAGUGUCGUGUCCUAACUUACGGGAUGUGACAUUUAUUAUCUUGAGACGAGAGGAUCUUUGGCAUUUGUUUAGAUUUAUUCAAGCAAAUUCUUUUAAAUUGAAAUAGCGUUAACAAAAGGGGGAUUGUGUUUUAAAUUCUUUCGAAGUUUUUCAAUUUUUAAUAUUUAGACAUUAAUUAAUCAAUUGGGUACCAAUUUUGGGCGUGACGAGGAUGCUAAUCUUUCCUCGCAUGUAACUGAUUCCCGAAUCCGUUUUCUCAAAUUUCGCAGACCAAAAUCACUGUUUUGAUAAAUUAAAAUAUUUUAUUAAAACAACUAAAUUAUGAGAUGACCUAAUCACACCUCGUAAAAAAAAUAUUGGUGGCGACUCCCGUUUUAAUUUCCGUUUUCAAACCAACACCGACCCUUUUAAAAAAAAUGGUUUCAAUAUUAAGUUAUAAGUGAAUGAAUUAAAAAUAUGUGAAAAGUGUAAAUAAAGACUCUUCAAUCUCAUUUCCUCUAAUGCUCUUUUUUUUUUUAAUCAGAGAAGUUGUAAUUGACUGGAAUGAAAUUAAUAAUCGCCUUAUUAUUUCACUUUUUUUCUUCAUAUGUUUGGCGUCAGUACAGGUUGGACUGAUUUUAAAGUUGAAGUAAAACGAUAUCAAACAAAAACCAUUCUGGUUUUUAAAAUUAUGAGUCCAAAUCAAUCCAAUUAGUUUAACUAGAUUUUAAUGUCUUAUGUGUUAUGAUGAUGAAGCAAGUUGAUCAAGGGACUUGCUUCAUCUUUCAAAAUAUGAGUUGCUUAAGAGCCCUGUUUGACGCUUUUUUUUUUCUUAAAUUACAAACGAAAAGGUAUUUUUUAAAAAAAAAUUAACUUAAUGAAUUUUUUAUAGAUAUAAAUUUCCUGCAAAGUUAUUCUUUUUGAAAAAAUAUUUUUUUAAUUUUUUAUAUACCUUUUAAAUAGUUAAUGAAAAUAAGAGUUUUCAUUUCGAAAUGCAAAAGCCAAAAACAGUUUUUGACUACAAAAGCUGUGUGUUCUUCAUCACUUCUGCAGUGGAAAAACACUUCUGCAGUGUAAAAACACUUUUAACCCAAAACGGGUUUUCACCUAAGUAGAGAAUCCACCCUAAAAUUGUAAAUAGAAAAAGGAAGGACCAAACAUUGUUUCUACCCUGUUUUUGUCUCCUCUUUGAAAAUACUUUCCAAAAAGUUUUAUCAUUUUCUUUUUAUUAAGUUUUCUGUUGGAUCUUAUAGUCAAAUUCCUUUACAUCAUGUACGUUAAUUUGCUUCGCUCUGAUAAAUGUUAGAUAUAGGGUUAUCAGCUAAUUAGGAAAGACUGAUGAUAGUCACCCCUUACAUCCAAAAGCAAAGCUUUUUUCACAUGUGUAUGUAAGGUUGCUAAGCAAAUCUGAUGAGCCUUCACUGAUGUUUUAAGGUUUAAGUUGAUGUUCCUUUUCGGCAAAGAACAUUAUCGAGAUCACAGAAUUUUGAUCGCCUUUUGCUUGUUAUGUUAUUCGUUCUUAAACGAUUGCAUAAUCUUUACUGUGAUUGCAGGAUAUAGAGGAACUUUUGAAUUUCAUCGGUGUAACGAGUUUAGGACCUUGGCAUGUUCUUGCAAAUUUGAAGGAGCUUCUAAGGUCUGUCCAGUCUUCAGAAUAUAUAGAUACCUGAAUUAAUUUUGAUUUUGUAGGAUCAACUAUAAUUAGCUACUUAUUACAGUAUGAAUAGACAACCUGACCUUCUUCACACACGACACAUGUGCGGAUUUUUUUACCAAUCCCAUUUCAUUAAAGAAAAAAAAGAGCUUUAAAAAAGGAUCACACUUUUUUGUUGUUUACAGAAUCAUAAUGUUAAUUAGAGUGGAAUAUUUCAGAUUUCUGAUAAUGAGUAUAUUAUUGAGUAUUGCAGUAAAAAAAUGGGUGUGCAACUUAUUUGAACUUUGAAUGUAUGUUUUGUUGGUGAGAAUAUAAAGUUGAUAAAGAUUUGGUAAAUAGAAUAAAAUACUAUUUUUUAUUAGAAAAAAUAUUUGGUACACUGCCAAUCGAGUUAUAAUUAUCAUGACACAAUAUUAAGGGUAAUUAAAACAUGUCAUAUUACAAAUAAUAAAAUUAUAAUGACUCAAAUCUGCAAACAUGUCAAAAUUUACGUACAAUGAAUUAUUAACAUGUAAAUGUAUAAUAUGGUAUGCAAAAAUAAGAUCAUUGCUUGUUUUUUAAAUUGAAUUGUUAUAACAUAUUGUACAAAAUACAUUGUGAAUUAAGGCAUAAUAUGAACAUGAUAUCAAAAUAUUAAAUUUUUUUAAAAUUCGAUGAUAUGAAUAAUUAUGUAAAAUAUAACAUGAUACAAAAUAACUUGAAAGGAAAAGAGGAAUAAAGAAUUGCAUUGUUUUUGAGGUUUUAAAAUAUUUCAGUUUUAGAUUCAUUUUUCUAGUAUGUUUGGUUUAAUUUUACAUUAGAUUUCCUUUACAGUAUGCACUAGUGAACGCUUAGUAUUCAAUUUAAUUUAAUUCAAAGAGAUAUUGCAUAUACAUAAUAAUGGAUUAUGAUUUUACAUUAAAUUUCAUAGAAGAAAAAAGAAAUAGAUGGUUGAAAAUGAUAAAAUCAUAAGAUAAAAGAGCUUUUAUUUAAAAUUCAAAAAUCAACAAAAUAUUCAUUAUCGCUCAACUUAGCAUAAUUAAACAUUUAGGUGUGAAAAUCAAAUUACAAUUUGAGUAGCUAAACACAUUGCUUGAAAAUGUGAUAAGUAAGAAAAUUGCCCACAUUUGAGUAGCGACAGGUGGUGAUGCAUUUCCCAAUGAGAGAAAACCAAACUCUUCGCCAGUAUGGAUUUAUGUAGAGGACAACAAAAAUUGUCAACAACACAACUACAUAAGAAACCAAAAAGCUCACACAAAAAUCAUAAGUACCUAUCAAACCAUCUUCUCCUUUAUCUUCUGAUACAGUUGAUAUCGUUGAUGGUGAAUCGGUUUUGGAACAACUUUUAUGCAAUAUAGCUCCACAAAGAAAAAGAUUUCCCUCAUAACUGUUUUCAAUAAAGGUCCCAAAUUGAGCUUUUGGUUCGGGAAUACUACCUGACAAGUUGUUGUAUGCCACGCUGAAAACCUCCAAAGAGUUCAACUCUACCAACUGGUUGGGGAUUUCACCACUCAAAUUGUUGUAAGAAAGGUCCAAACUCUCAAUUUGAUGAAGUUUUGCUAAUGAUGAGGGUAUAACUCCUGUCAACUUAUUAUGCGACAAGUUUAAAGAAUAGAUUUCACUUAAGUUCCCUAAUUCUGGUGGGAUAUGACCAGUUAAGUUGUUGCAAGAUAAAUCAAUCCCGGUCAUAUAUAUAAGGAUGUUUCCCUCGUACGAUAAGAACCCACUCUUUGUUGUGAACUCUAUUACUUCUUCUAAGUAGCCUUCAGGAUAGUAAUAAUUUCCAAGAGCUCCCAAUGUUUUCGCUAAUCCAUCCCCUGUUAACCUUGGUCUAAUUUUCGAAUCAGUUAGAAUCUUAUUUGUUUCCGUUGAAAGGGUUAAAUUUCCCAAACAAGAAGGUAUAAUACCAGAAAACAUAUUUUGAGAAAGAUCUAUGAUGUUUAAAGAAUCCAACUUGCAUAACUGAACUGGAACUUCACCAUGAAAAUGAUUAUCUUUCAAGAGAAGAACACUCAAUGAAGAAAGUGUGCCAAUCCAUUUUGGAAUACUACCAGUCAAAUUGUUUCCUCUAAGAUCUAACGUAACCAGUGAAGAGAUAUUAUAAAAAGCGAUUGGUAGUGGGCCACUUAGUCUACUCCCGUGCAGGUGGACAUGCUUUAUGUUUAGGGUAUUAAAGCAGGACGGUAUAGAGCCAAAUAAAUUGUUUUCAGAGAGAUCCAAAAAUUCCAAGCGAUUCAAGUUGCAAAAUUCCAUUGGAAUAGAACCCUCGAAACCAUUUUGGGACAAAGCUAAUCUCUCCAAAAAUGACACAUUCCCCAUCCAUCUUGGGAGGUUUCCAUAAAACUUGUUAUUUCUGAGAUUGAUUUCCCUUAGUGAAGUUGGAAACUCAGAAAUAGAGACAUCAACAUUUGCCAUCUCCCCAGAAAAAUUAUUUCCAUCCAAAUAUAAUUUUGACAGCCCAUUUGCAUUGAGAAUCACAGGAAGCACAUGUCCACUGAGGUUGUUGUUUGAUAGUCUCAAAAUGGUCAACGAGUUUUUUGUGAUUAACUCUUCAGGUACUCUUCCAGACAAUUGAUUGUUUGAUAAAUCUAAAAUCGAUAAAUCCUUCAUGCCACUCAAACAAGGAGGGAUAUCACCUUCGAAGGCAUUCUUGGAUAAGAACAAUAGGCUCAAAUGUGGAAAAGGUGAACACACGUUGGCUGGAAUCUGACCUUGCAAUUUGUUUUGGGAUAUGUCAAUUAAAGACACUUUAGAGUUAGGAGCUGACGGUAAUGAGAGAGGACCGGUAAAUGAAUUACCCUUCAAGAUGAGAUCUUCUAACUUUGUGUUGUUUUCUAACAACCAAGUUGGGACUGUUCCGCUGAAAUUGUUAUGAGAAAGAUCCACAUAUCUCAAGUCAUAUUGGUAGUAAAGGAAGGUAGGAAGCUUACAACUGAGCUGUUGAGAUGUUAUGCACUUUGGCAAACUAAUGACUUCCAAUUGGAACUUUGGGAUUGAGGUAUAAAAGGAAGGUUCCGUUACCAUCUUGUUUUCAUUACUCAAGAGGGCUUUGAGGUUUGAAAGGUUUGCAAAUGGUGCGAAUGACAACGGAAUUUGAAAAUGGUUUCCUGAAAUAUCUAACUCACGAAGAGAUGUCAAGUUACUGAAACAAUGAGGAAGCNNNNNNNNNNNNNNNNNNNNNNNNNNNNNNNNNNNNNNNNNNNNNNNNNNNNNNNNNNNNNNNNNNNNNNNNNNNNNNNNNNNNNNNNNNNNNNNNNNNNNNNNNNNNNNNNNNNNNNNNNNNNNNNNNNNNNNNNNNNNNNNNNNNNNNNNNNNNNNNNNNNNNNNNNNNNNNNNNNNNNNNNNNNNNNNNNNNNNNNNNNNNNNNNNNNNNNNNNNNNNNNNNNNNNNNNNNNNNNNNNNNNNNNNNNNNNNNNNNNNNNNNNNNNNNNNNNNNNNNNNNNNNNNNNNNNNNNNNNNNNNNNNNNNNNNNNNNNNNNNNNNNNUAAUUCUAAAGGAUGAGAAGAGGUAUUAGAUGUUAAUCAAACGUAAUCUGUUUUGGAAAAGAAAAUCAUGUUCAGAUAAUGGUAUUGUAGAUAAAAGGUUUUAACUGAUGAGAAAGCCUCCACUAAAUUUUGUAAUGGAAUGCUUCCAUCGGUGAAAACGUGAUCAAGAGACACAACUUUCAAAUUUCUCAAUCCCUUAUUUUCUGUAAGUGAAAGAAAUAUAUAAAUAUUUGUUUUCAUGAAUAAGAUAAAAGUUUAAUAGAGAAUGUCCAAAUCUUAACAUAACUAUUCAUUCAUUUUAUUAAUUAAUAAACUAAUCCUUUUUAGUCAUUCUAAGAUANNNNNNNNNNNNNNNNNNNNNNNNNNNNNNNNNNNNNNNNNNNNNNNNNNNNNNNNNNNNNNNNNNNNNNNNNNNNNNNNNNNNNNNNNNNNNNNNNNNNCAAGUUCUUUUAUUUUAAAAUGUCAACACCAAUAAAUUAUUUUUUUUUUAAAAAUAACAAUGUUAACAAUUGAACUUGGAUUUUAAAAUUUAAAAAAUAGAGGGAUCAAAUUCCCGAAAAUAAAAAUACAAGAAUUAAAUUACAAAUUUGUAAAGAGUACAUAGACCUAUCACAUUUUUUUUAACCAAAAAAUUAACAACAUGUGCAUUUUGAAAUAUAUAAAAAGUUAAAAAAAAAAGAAGUUUAAGCACCUCAAAAUGUAUGUUUAAAUUUCAUAAAAUUGAAGUUUUUUUUAUAUUAUUCAAAAUUGACAUUUAUUUAUUUUUGGCCAAAAAAUGCCAUUUAUUUAACUCUAAUAUGUAUUAAAAAUAUAUGAAAUUAAAAUAUAGUUAUAUUACAUAUUUUCCCAUAAAUAUAUGUAUUUUUACUUAUAAUAUCAUUUUUAUUGUUAUAAUUAUUUUUUAUCUCAUAAAAAUUCAAUAAAUUAUUUAAAAAAUAUAGUUAUACAAACAAAAUAAUUAUAAACAUUAAUAUUUAAAAAUUAUGAAAAAUUUAAAGAAUUUUAGUUUCAAACCAAAGUCGAAACACAUUAUAAUGGAGGGUUUAGAAAAUGUUUCACCAAACCCAUAUUUUACUUUCAAGUAUGAUAUGAUAUAACUUUAUUAAUAUUUAUGACAAUAACUGUUAUUAUAAUAUCUGAGAUCAAAACUAAAUUUCUAAAUUAAAAAAGAAAAGGAAAUUUAAUUAAAUGAUACCUUGGUGGAUCACAAAAUCUCUCAAUUCAUUAUAGCUCAUAUCUAGUUCCCUUAAUUUGAUAAAUGCUUCCAAAUCUAGGAAAACAAAAACAACAAAUUAAUCAACUCCAUUAUAUUCUCUUAAAACAUUAUUAUAUUCUUGUUAAAAAACUAAUAUUUUUACCUUUCAUAUCUAUUGAUCCUUUCAAUUGAUUGACCCUUAUGCUCAACGAUUUCAAAUUUGAAAGCUUGUUAAGGGAUGCAAAUGCACUAGUAUUGAAGAGAUUUCCAUCUAAAUUAAGCUCUUCCAAGUGGGUCAACUCCAAUUUUCUACCACCAUCUACAAAAGAUUUAUAUAAUUUCAUCACUGAAAUGAAUUGGCAUAAAAUUUAAUUAUAUGUAAGAAUUUAGGUAAUUGGUUAAAUAUAAAUGCAUACCUUUUAAGGAUUGAAAGCUUUCAAUUUGAUUCCAACUUAAAUCGAGUUUCUUCAAAUUCGUUAAAUUACUCAAUCCUAUACAUAUCCUCGUCCAAUUUAAAAAAUCAUUAUGUUAAUAAUUUUAAUUUCUACUUAAUAUUUUAAUGAAAUAAAAAUGAAAAAAAAGUAAAUCUAAAACUUGGAAUGAAGAUGAAAAUCCUCAAACGUGAAAUGUGAAUGUUCAAAAUUGAAACAAUUAAUUUUAAAAGGUUCUAGAAAGAAUUAUCAAGAAAAACAAAGUUAUAGCUUUAGUACCUUUAGUAUCUAAUGAACCUUGCAAAUGGUUGUAGUACAAAGUCAAAGACUUUAGGCUUGAAAGCCCUUGAAGAAAGGAAAUUGUGUUGUUCCGAAAGAGAUUAUCACUCAAGUCAAGUUCCUCCAAGUUUGUUAACCUCAGUAGUGUUCCAUCUAUCAUUGGAAGAAAAUAAUGAGUAUAGUUAAUAUCAUUCAAGAUAUAAAUAGUUAGGAAAAAUGAUUGUUUGAGAAGGAAGAGCCAGUUUACAAGCUUUCCCAUGAAUUGAUAACUACAUUUUACAAGUAAAACUUAAUUGAUUCAAUAUAUAAAUACUUUGUUUGAGAUACCUUCCUACUUUAAUUACUCAAUCCCAAAUAUUGAUUACUUAUAUAUAUUCAUGAUAUGAUAAAAGCAAAUGACUUAUUAAUUGCAACAGCUUUUCCUUCAACAUGAAUUUAAUGCUAUUCUUCAAAUAAUUCCAACUUAUAUCAAUAAUCUCCAAUCUAAUGAGCCAUUGAAAACCUGAUUUAUAUAUUAUAUAAUUAGUUACUACAAAACAUAAAUAAAUAAUAAUACUCCAUUUUUGCAAUAAAAAUUCACUAAAGAAAAUACAUUUGAAGUUUGUCAUUGCCUUUUGGAAUAAGAGUCGGUCAAGAAAGUUUGUUAGGCUUAAUUGUGUUCCAUCUAUGAUUGGAAGAAAAUAAUGAGUAUAGUUAAUAUCAUUCAAGAUAUAAAUAGUUAGGAAAAAUGAUUGUUUGAGAAGGAAGAGCCAAUUUAGAAGCUUUCCCAUGAAUUGAUAACUACAUUUUACAAGUAAAACUAAUUGAUUCAAUAUAUAAAUACUUUGUUUGAGAUACCUUCCUUCUUAAUUUAUUCAAUUUUGAAAUUCAAUCCCAAAUAUUGAUUACUUAUAUAUAUUCAUGAUAUGACAUAUUGCAACAACUUUUCCUUCAACAUGAAUUUAUUUUAAAGAAUGCUAUUCUUCAAACAAAUCCAACUUAUAUCAAUAAUUUCCAAUUUAAUGAGCCACUGAAAACCUGAUUUAUAUAUUAUAUUAUUAGUUACUACAAAACAUAAAUAAAUAACAAUACUCCAUUUUUGCAAUAAAAAUUCACUAAAGAAAAUACAUUUGAAGUUUGUCAUUGUCUUUUGAAAUAAGAGUCGGUCAAGAAAGUUAUGCACAAAUACUUAUACCUUUGUUUGAGAUGCUUUCAAUGUUGUUGUCACUUAAAUCCAAGUACUUCAAGUUUGUCAAAUUAUUCAAUCCUGAAAUUCAAUCCCAAAUAUUGAUUAGCUAUAUAUAUUCAUCGUAUGAUAAAAUCAAACUUGAACAUACAUUGAUUUUUAAAGUUAAAAAGAAACAGGCAAAAUCAGUCUACCGUGAAUAUGAUCCAGCCUUCCUUUCAACUGAUUAGCGCUCAAUCUUAAAGUCUUCAAGGAUGAAAUAUUUCUCAUAUGGAACAGAAUGGUAUUCUUCAAAGAAUUCCCACUUAAAUCAAGAGUUUCCAAGUUAUUGAGUCUUGAAAGCAAUUGAAAACCUGAUAUAUAUAUAUAUGUAUAUAUAAUUACUUGUUAAUUGUUUUCUUCUUUCUUCGCUAUAUGAAAAUUUUACUAAAGCAAAAGUGGAAUUACAACGAAUAAAAAGAAUGGAAAACUUGGUACCAAGCCUAGAAGACCAUCCUCAAACUCCACUAUACAAAUAAAAACUAACAUCAGACCAAACUUAAUUUACCUCUUAGAUGACUUGAUCCUUCAAAUUUGUUGAUUGAUAGAUCUAAAUACCGGAGAGAUGAAAGCUCACUCAAAGAUAACAAAAUGCUAUCAUUCAAGUAAUUUUCACUUAAGUCAAGGAUCUCCAAAUUACUCAAUGUGGAUGAUAGUUUUCCAAAGCCUGUAGAAGUGUUCUUUUAAAUAUAUACAAGUUAGUGACUUUUCUUUAAUAAAAUAAAAUAAAAUAUAAGUAAUUGUAAAUUAACAAUGGUGAGAAUAGUGGAAUAGUAAAAGAUGUAAUUAAGGAAAAAUUAAAGGCACGACCUUCAUUUUCAAGGCUACCACCUAUGACAUUUCCCGACAAAUAAAGUCUCUUCAAUUCCUCAAAAGGAAGAAACAUAGAGGCAUUGAGAUACCAGGCAUUGAGAUUCCUAUUAUCCAUGACGUAUUCCAUAUUGUCUUCCCAUUUUGUAGAAUUAAGGGAGAGUUGUAUGAGUCUCCUAGUGGUGGUGUUACACUCAACUCUUUCCCAUUUACAACAAUCUGAACCCUUCACCUCAACCCAACUUUGCAAUUGAUUACGAUAAUUGAAGAAAGGCUUGAGAUGCAAGAGAGCGAUUCUCUCAUGCUCCAAACAAGCAUCAGUAGUACACCAACUGCAUCUUUCUAACACCAACAACAUUACUGCCAUCCUAAUAAACCAUAAGUACCAUUUCCACUCCAUCAUCAUCAUCAUCUUUCUGUUUUCACUUCUCUCUCAGCUAUAUGUUACUUUUUCUUAACUUCUAUAUGUAUAUAAUCUAAAGAAGCCUAAGCUUCUUUUUUAUAUACAAGCAGAACAUUUUGCAUCCCACUAAUUUACUAUAAUAUAAAAAUAAUAUAUAAUUAAUUAAUUCCUCAAAAAUUGGAUCAAUCUAGGCUUCUUAUUUACGUAAAUUCCUUAUUGCAAAACCUCUUGGUAGAAAUUCGUUAGGAAAGGAUGAAUGGACCACAAGAAUGCUUAUCAACUCUUGACUUUGGCGUCCAAUGCUAAAUUUAUUUUAAAAUUUCUUCAUGGAGACAAGAUGGGAUGACAAGAAUGAUAAGUUUUAAGUCAUUUAAGUUUACACAAUUUUAAUCACUCAUAAAAACAAGUAUUGACAUUCUAUUAAAGAAUUUAAACAUGGCUUAACGUUGAUUUUAAAUCUAAUGUUGAUGUUAAUCUUGAAAAAAGAAUGGCCAAAAAAAUAUGAAAAGUGAGAGGUGGACAUAAAAUAGUGUAGUUGGGGUUAUAAAAUUCUUCAUGUAGACAUUAUAUUUUUUUUAUGCCUUUUUUACACUUAUAUAAAGUUAGUCUUGACUUCGCUUUAUUAAUAGAAAUUUUAGGUCUUCAUUUUUUGUUUUAUUCAUGGGCAUAAUAUUUUUUUAUUUUUAUUUUAUGGUCUAUGAUCGAGGUUUAUGACUAUCCCCUUUCAACAACGUCGUCUCAACUGUUCAAACAUACCCUUGCAGGUAAAAUAAUACUUUUUAAAAUCACAAAUAUUUAAGAUAAUACAUUGCAGCUAUAUAAAUGCUUUCUUGUUUAAGAUACUAAUAAAGUAAUUAACAAAGUAAUUAUUAUACCUAUAAUAAUUCAAAAUGCCACUUGUUAUCUAAUGAAGUAUAGGGGUGCAAAUGAGACAUCCGUACUCGCAAGCUAUUCGAAUUUGGCUCAAAAACUUUUGAAAUUGAUUUGGUAAUUAUUGAGCCGAGCUAUAGGUCGAUCCAGAUUCGAGCUUAGUAAUACUUAACUCGAGUAUUUUGAGAGCCUUAUUGAACUUUUUAUAUUUUUAUAUUAUUAGAUUACAUUAUUGCUAUUAAUAUAUAUUAUUAACUCUAAGUUUAAUUAUAGAGGCGAGCUCAAACUCGAGUACAAAAAUUGAUAAACAUAUUUAAUUUCGAGCUUAAAAAUAUAUGUUCGAUCGAGCAUCAAGCUUUGAAUUUCAAAUUAAACUUGAGUUUAACAGUAUUGAGUUCAAAUAGAUUCAAUUACACCCUACAAUAAAAUAUACCAACAAAACCUACAUUCCAUCUUUGCUAUAAAUUUUAUGUAUGUGUGUGUUUAACGUGAGUUCCAUCUAUGUCCAACUUGAUGACGAUGAAAGUUCCUAUGGUGUAAAAAGUUUUAAUUAUGUGGAAAAAUAAGGUCUUCUCUUCACACGUUUAAUAUGCUUACUUGUGUCGGUCAUUUCGAGCUUCACAUCAAUUUUCAAAAAGUUGGAAAACUUAUGUCUGCUUUUAUGAUUCUUUUAUGUGUGUGUUUAACGUGACUUCCUUGUGAGUUCCAUCUAGGUCCAACUUGAUGACAAUGAAAGUUCCUAUGGUGUAAAAAGUUUUAGUUAUGUGGAAAAUUGGUGGAAAACUUACGUCUUUUCACUUGCUUUUAUGAUUCUUUUUACAUGAUAUUACUAUAUAAUUAAAUUGAAAUACUGAUAAAUUUGAACCCAUAUGAUGUAAGUCUAGGCAUCAUCUAAUUUAUUGAUAUUUAAUUAAUUAAUAUAUAUACUUUCAAUUAUAAGAAUUGAAACAUAACUUUCAAGCCAAUUGGAGUAUGCCCCUGUUACACGUCAAAAGAAGUAGAUUUUGAACUCAACAUGAACCUGUGAGAUUUGAUGCCUAAAAUAUAGGUAUAAGGUUUCAAUUCAUGGAAAUGUUGGAAAUCUUGGAAAUUUCUUAGUCUCCUCUCUUUGGAUGUUUUUGAACAAAAAUGUUUUAAGUCUCUUCCGAUGCUAAACUUCUGAUUGGUCGUCGGUUCACUGACCCUUUGGUACACAGCAAUAUGAAGCAUUGGCCAUUCAAGGCCAUUGCUGGUCCUGGUGAUAAGCCAAUGAUUGUACUACUAUAGAUUUGAAUAUUUGUACACAUUUGAUCGGCUCUUCGUAAAUUUAAAUCUUACAAAUUCGGAUAAUAUUUGAACUUUGAAUGUAUGUUUUGUUGGUGAGAAUAUAAAGUUGAUAAAGAUUUGGUAAAUAGAGUAAAUUACUAUUUUUAUUAGAAAAAUUAUUUGGUACACUGCCAAUCGAGGUAAUUAAAACAUGUCAUAUUAUAAAUAAUAAAAUUAUGAUGACUCAAAUAUACGAACAUGUCAAAAUUUAUGUACAACAAAUUAUUAACAUGUAAAUGUAUAAUACGGUACGCAAAAAUAAGAUAAUUUCUUGUUUUUUUAAUUGAAUUGUUAUAACAUAUUAUACAAAAUACAUCGUGAAUUAAAGCAUAAUAUGAACAUGAUAUCAAAAUAUUAAUUUUUUUUAAAAUUCAAUGAUACGAAUAAUUAUGUAAAAUAUAACAUGAUACAAAAUAUCUUGAGAGGAAAAGAGGAAUAAAGAAUUGCAUUAUUUGUGAGGUUUUAAAAUAUUCCAGUUUUAGAUUCAAUUUUCUAGUAUGUUUGGUUUAAUUUUACAUUAGAUUUCCUUUUCAGUAUGCACUAGUGAACGCUUAGCAGUCAGUUUAAUUUAAUUGAAAGAGAUAUUGCAUAUACAUAAUAAUGGAUUAUGAUCUUACAUUAAAUUUCAUAGAAGAAAAAGAAAUAGAUGGUUGAAAAUGAUAAAACCAUAAGAUAAAAGAGCUUUUAUUCAAAAUGCAAAAAUCAACAAAAUAUUCAUUAUCACUCAACUUAGCAUAAUUAAACAUUUAGGUGAGGAAACAAAUCACAAUUUGAGUAGCUAAACACAUUGCUUGAAAAUGUGAUAAGUAAGAAAAUUGCCCACAUUUGAGUAGCGACAUGUGGUGAUGCAUUUCCCAACGAGAGAAAACUAAGCUCUUCACCAGUAUGGAUUUAUGUAGAGGACAACAAAAAUUGUCAACAACACAACUACAUAAGAAACCAAAAAGCUCACAAAAAAAUCAUAAGUACCUAUCAAACCAUCUUCUCCUUUAUCUUCUGAUACAGUUGAUAUCGUUGAUGGUGAAUCAGUUUUGGAACAACUUUUAUGCAAUAUAUCUCCACAAAGAAAAGGAUUUCCCUCAUAACUGUUUUCAAUAAAGGUCCCAAAUUGAGCUUUUGGUUUGGGAAUACUACCUGACAAGUUGUUGUAUGCCACGCUGAAAACCUCCAAAGAGUUCAACUCUACCAAUUGAUAGGGGAUUUCACCACUCAAGUUGUUGUAAGAAAGGUCCAAACUCUCAAUGUGCUGAAGUUUUGAGAAUGAUGAGGGUAUAACUCCGGUCAACUUAUUGUGUGACAAGUUUAAAGAAUGGAUUUCACUCAAGUUCCCUAAUUCUGGUGGGAUAUGACUAGUUAAGUUGUUGCAAGAUAAAUCAAUCCCAGUCAUAUAUGAAAGGAUGUCGCCAUUGUACGAAUAGAACCCACUCUUUGUUGUGAACUCUAUUACUUCUUCUAAGUAGCUUAGAGGAUAGUAAGAAUCCAUUUCCAGGUUUCCUAUCAUAAUGCGUGUUGAUUCAUCCUCUUCUAUAGAUGGCCCAUAGAACCCAGUUUCUAGAAUCCUCUUCAUUUGUAUUGGAAGAGAUAAAUUUCCCAAACAAGAAGGUAUAGGACCAGAAAACAUAUUUUGAGAAAGAUCUAUGAUGCUUAAAGAAUGCAACUUGCAUAACUCAAUAGGAACUUUACCAUGAAAAUGAUUAUCUUUCAGGAGAAGAACACUCAAAGAAGAAAGCGUGUAAAUCCAUUUUGGAAUACUACCUGUCAAAUUGUUUCCUCUAAGAUCUAAAGUCACUAUUGAAGAGUUAUUAUAAAAAGCAAGUGAUAGUGUGCCUCUCAGUCUAUUCCCGUGGAGGUGGACAUGCUCUAUGUUGGUGGAUUAAAACAUGACGGUAUAGAGCCAGAUAAAUUAUUUUGAGAAAGAUCCAAAAAUUCCAACCUAUUCAACUUUCAAAAUUCCAUUGGAAUAGAACCUUCAAAACCAUUGUUGGACAAAUUUAAUCUCCACAAAAAUGAUGCAUUCCCUAUCCAUCUUGGGAGCUUUCCAUGCAACUUGUUACUGAGAUCAAUUUCGCUUAGUGAAUUUGGAAACUCAAAAAGAAAUGUUCACACAAAGUUUUUUCCAACAUAUGUCUGUCAUUUGUGGGGUCUUGAAUUUAAUAUCAAUGGUUGAAUUUUCAUAGCUAAUAUGUACGCAAAAGGCUUAGUGGGUGGAAUUUUAUGUCUGGAAAGCGUUUCUACAAUGACAUAAUUAAUUGCAUUACUUUUCAAAGAUUGACUAUUGACUUUGGUGAGCUUAUUAGGUUAAAUUCUGCUGCUGGUCACUGUUCUUUGUAAAAGUUGUAAAUUUAGUCUAUUUUCUUCAAUUUGAUCAAUUUUAAUCCCUAUACAUUUUGAAUUUUAAAAUUUUAGUUGUGACCCAAACAAUAGAGUUAAAUCAAUUUAAUUAAAACCAAUUACUAGUCCUAUAUUAUGCGUACAAUUGUUGAUUUAGUCCAUACUCUUCAAUUGGAUCAUUCUAAGUACCUAUAUUUUUCAAAUUUUAAAAUUUCAGUCUUGAUGCAAAUGACAAUCCUUAGUCUGUUAACUAGAUUUUUAGUAACAUAUGAAAAUAAUAAGAUGAUAUGACAUUACAAAUAUGAUAAUAUUUUUGCAUUAAAUAUGUCAACAAUGACAUAAUUAAUUGCAUUAACUUUCAGACGUUGACCAUUGACUUUUGCGUCAACCUUAAGCUUAUAUAGCCCCUACAAUAAUUUAUAGCCCCUACAAUAAUUUAGGUUAUGGAAAUAAUCUUACAAUUAAUGCCUGAGAAAUUAUUAUAGAUCAAUUUAUAGUUUUAAUCCCUAUAAUUACUCAAUUGAAUUAAGAUUCAGUUUUUCUUAUUUAAUUUGAUAUAUUUUGUUUUCUUAUUAAUGUUAAUGUUAUGGAUUAGUUUUUUUUAAGACAACUUCAUUAUUUUAUUCAAUGAAUAAUACCAUACAAUUCGGGGGAAAAUAACAAGCAAUCGUUGUACUCCUUAAAGGACAAGCUCCAUAAAUACAACAAAAGCUUUAGCUUCAACAUUAAUACAACAUUAUGGCAUGUUGAAAUCGGCUCCGUCACAACUCAAGCACAACAUAUCAGGAGUGAUUACAAGCACUUAAUAUAGUAAGAAAAUCAACCCUGGAUGGUCCAAAGCGGAGGGCAUAAAUCGGCAAAAGAACUGAGCAUCCACCAAACUAGAGGGGAUGUGGCGACAAAACCAACCCUAAAAUUACUAGCAAAAGCAAGACUAAAAAGCGUACUACAAGAGUAGACAAAAACUUCUAAAAGUUAAACAAUGGAAAAAUAAACAAAAAAAAUACAAAACUUAAGAUAACAUGAGUCUAAAACGAGUCAUGAAAUCAUUUAUUAUUUUGAAACUCUCAAAACAUAAACAAAUUAAGAUAUCAACGAAGAGGUACCCACUUUCUAAAAGAAAGUGUUGGUCGUCGGUGGUGUUUCAAUGAUGAUAGGCAUUGUCACCUGUCCAUCACAACUUGUAAAGACAACAAAAAUACCCACAAAAUAAAUCUGUAAAUUGAAAAGAACGAAGACUCAUGGAGUGAAUGAGAAGAAGAAAAAUAAAAAGGGUUAAUAGGGAGGAGAAAAAGGAGGGCGGUAACUAAUCCUGAGGCUAACACCGCUGGUAGGCUAAAAAAAAAAAAAAAGCAAACAUGUUGUGGAUUAGUUAAAAUAACUAACAUCAUUGGAAAUUUCAUUAGUUGGCUGAUUUGGAUUUUUUAAAAAAAAAAUUGAAACUAGAAACCAUAAAUGAUCUAACAUUUAGAAACCAUAAAUUGGGUUUUUUUUCAAUUGCUUUGCUGUCCAACUCCAUCCAUCUAAAAUCGCAAGGAUGUACCCAUGUUCAAUAUGCAGUACAGAGUACAGACCCAAAAAUUGACCAUAUAAUGUGGCUGAAGAGAAUUUUCGAAUGGUUUUAAAGAAUUAUGAGAACACAAUGAAUAAAGUUAAGGCAUCAUUUAUUCAGCUUGCUAUAAUGCAGGUCAUUCCAAUAAAGAAGCAUUUUUUAACUACAUUUUCCGUUACCCCAAUAACAAUGAAAUCCCUUAUUAUAGCACAGUAUGUUCUCCGAUGAACAUAGAACUCACCAUUUUUAGGAACACGUGUAGUUGAGGAUGAGAAUUCGGAUCAACUGUAACUUCAAAUAGUGGAAUGAAAACAUUGUCCAGAAUAUUCUGAAAAGAUUUUACAAUUCCCAUUUGCUUGUACACAUUAUACAAUCGUGGUGACUGCAGAAUUAAGUCAAAAUCAAGUGAAGAAGGUUACCUUUGACUUGAGAAAUAUAUCACAGAGAGAGAGAGAGAGAGAGAAAACAGUAAUCUGGAAAGAUGAUGCUUAAUAUGGACAUGAUACCCUAAAAACCGAUCUUAAAUUUUAAUUUCUAAAAUGUUAUUAGCUUGUGCAUACUUUCAAAUACUUUUCAUUAGAGUUACCAUAGACUAAUUUUUCCAAUUUUAGAUGAUUCAAGAAACUACUUGGGGGCAAUUCUUAAAUAAACAUGUCCGAACAGUAGUCAUUAACAAGAAAGCAUCCAAGAAAACCAGCAGUUAAUACUUAAAUAAACAUUAUCAAAUGGAGAUGUAAAGAAGAAAGAAUCCUACUGCAAAGCUAGAUAGCAGGAGAAUCACUAGAAUGAAGAGAAAUACUAUUGGCACUAUACCUGGAUUAACCAAACAGUAGUCUCACUAUAAAUUUCAUUGUUAAUAAACCAACUUGCCAACUGGUCCCAUUCACUUUGUUUCCUUCCGUAUAUGGACACCCUGUACUCUGCCAUCUUGAAAAUAUAUAUAUUAUUCAGUGUAGUCAGAGGCGCAAGGAGCACUCUAGGUGCUAGAAUCCUUUUAUUAUAUAAGGCACAUGGCGCACAAAAAAAAAAAAAAAAAACACUUGCUUGUGUUAAGGCACAUGUAUGCGUGUUUUGGUAUGUCCAUGUCUGUAUAUAUAUAAGCCGAAGAUAUAUAAUUAUAAUAAUAAACUAUAAAAGUGCUCCAGUUUGAAGUACAGAACAUGCCAAAUUUUCUUUCUUUUGUCAACCAUAUGCAUAUUUCCAUAUGAUCCCAUGCCUGGUGUUGAAUACUCAAAUAUUGAGAAGUAGAGAGUUCGAUAUUAUCCCUUUGUUACAAUUAAGAAACAAUUAAAGAGAUAGUAAAGAGAACUUCAAUUAGAAGGCCUUUUCCCCCUACAUGCACCAGGCAGGCGCUUAGCCUGAAAAGGUCAAAGGCCCUUUUACUGUCUGGUGAAAAGGCAAAAAACAUUGGACAAAGUUGGUGGGAGGAUGGAAUACUAAAAAGAGCCCAAUGUUGUCACUUUUCUAAAGUAAGCUCAUAUGCUUUUUUUGUACCCAAACAAUAUCUCACCCUUUAAUUUGUACCUAAAGAAAUUAUUUCUAAUAGAAAGUUUACUUUUGUUAUGAUCAAUGCUGGAGGCCAAAACUGAUUUGGGCUAAGGAAUUGGUGGUGAGAGUUGGGAGGCAAGAAGAAAGAAAGUCCUUGAGUGUUAUAUUUUUCAAAAAAUACAAAUUGUUCAUUUUUUUACCACAUCAUCAUGCCAGGUCAGCUUCCAUGUGGAUAAAGAAAAUUUUGGCGGCAUUGAAACAGAGGCUCACUUAGGAAAAAGAAGGAUACUUCAUGGGCUUUUAGUAAUUUAGCCCUUGGAAGGAAUAUGACCAUCCAAAAAAAGGCAGUUGAUGCUUUAAGGUCAAUUAGCCGAAACAAUAACAACAAUUCCUAGGCUUCAAUAAAAUAAUUUAGACAACAAAUAAAGCUUUAAGGUUGAGUUUUGCACUGCAGCAGCAUUGGGUUUUACAAGGUGAAAACCCACAUUGCAAAAAAAAUAUCAAAGUUUCAGAUCAAUCAUAAUUUAAAAUUCUAACUAAACCAAACGCCAAUGCUGAAUGCCUAAACAAAAAACAUAAGAUUAACCCAAGGACCUAAUUGGGUAUGCUAAAAUUUGUCUUGGAAUGAAAUUAAUAAUAUCCUUACUAUUUCACUUUUUUUCUCUUCAUAUGUUUGGUGUGAGCAUGAUACAGAUUAGACUGAUUUUAAAGUAAAAGUAAAACGAUACCAAACCUAAACAUUCUGGUUUUUUUUAAUUUUUUAUCAGAGCCCUGUUUGAUGCAUUUUUAGUUUUGUUUUCUAAUAACAAAUGGAAAGUUAAUUAAAAAAAAAAAACUCUAAUCCAAUGAGUUCUUUUAUAGAUACAAGAUAAGUCCUGCAAAGUUUUUGUUUUUUAGAAAUAAAAUUUUAUUUUUGUUUUUUAAUUGAUCUUCAUACCUAUUUUAAUAUCUAAGUUCCGGAUUCCUAACUGCCCUAUCAAUAAUAUAGUAUUCAAGAUUUGAACUUAUAUUUUUCUUUAAAAAUAUAAUGUAUUUUAUUAUUGUAUUCUACAUUCAUUAAUACUUAGUAGAAAUAACCUAAUAAAUUGAAUUUUUUUCAUAUAUUAAUAGAGAUAAGUUCGUGCAAAAUUGUUGGUUGAAAAUUCAUGAAUGUACCAUCAUCAUAAGUGAGCUCAAUGAUGCUCUGUCAUCUCAAUAUGAAGCCUCCUAUCAAUCACCAGUCUGCAGAAAACAUUUGAAAUCGAAACACCCCGGACAUCUCCGACAAAUCUGCCAUAACAUUAGCAUCUCUUCCAUUUUUCUAAACACAACCUCACGAAUGGAAAUCUUAAGCUCAUCAACGCUCGCAUAAAUGUACCAAUAUUUCCACGGCCUAGAUUUCUCAUUGAUACACCAAGAAAGCUUGACUAUGGAGUCGGAUUCAACCAUAAGCUUUCAGUCUAUAAUCCACUAGGAAUCCAAAAAAAUUUUAAAUGUUAUAUUAUUAUAUAAAAAAUUGAAACAUGACUUCCGUAGGUUUUAAAUCUAAUGUUGACACUAAUCUUGAAUAAGUCAUUCCCCUCCCAUCUUAACUAAUUGCCAAAGAGCUAUCAAAAGUGGGAGAUGGCCAUAAAAUUGUGUAGUUUGGGUUAUAAAAUUUUUGUUUAGUUAUUUUGAUCACUCCAGUUAAAAUAAAAAAUUGUAAACUGACGCAACAGUUAAAAAAAUGUAUAAUAACAAAUUUAACCCUCAAAUUUUAUAUAUUAUAUCAAUUACAUAUUACAACUACAUAUUUUAUAAUUAUUGAUAUCGAAUAUGUCCCUCACUACGCUGGGGAUUUUUAUUUUAUUUUUUUAUAAUUUGUUUUUAAUUAAUAUUUAAAAUUAAUUUCAAAAUAUUUGAAAAUUUUAUAAUUAUUUGGUGUUAGUCCCUUCAUUAUACUCAAAUUUAAGAUUAAGCCCCUAUACUUUAAUUUUGACAUAAUUUGGUUCUUUCACUUUUAUAAUCUCAUUAAUUAUUUCAAGUAACUAACACUUUUAACAAUGCCAAAUAAAAUAAUGUCAUAUUUUUUUCUUAAAGCCAUCACUUCUAACUAAAUAAUGACUUAAUCACUUUCUAAUUAAUCAUACUAACGUAGAAUUUUUUUUUUUCGUUGGAAUGAGUAUGUUUAAAGAAAACCCACCUCAACAUUUGUAGAUGUCUUCAACAAUUUCCUAAGCACGAUACAAUAAAGCUUGGUGAUCGUAUAAUUUUGUUUUAUGGAAGCUCCAAAUUAUGUUGAUUCUUGAAUGAUACGGUCUGCAUGGGUUUGUUUUGGGUGCUAUUAGUGUACUAGCACAGUUUGUAGUGGAUAAAUAUGGGAGAUUAGUAGAAAAUUCUGAUUAUGUUUUACAUGUGCAACAAGAUAAGCUAUUGGCUUCUUGGUUACUUUCAACUGUUAGUGAUGAAAUUCUAGCCUAUCUUACUAGUGCUCGUACUAGUUAUUAUAUGUGGGAAAUUACUGGUGCCUGCACCUACAUUACUUACUAGGUUGGGCGGUAUAGUGCAAAGGAAAUAGAUUUCUGGUGUCUGCACCUAAAUUACUUACUAGGUUGGGCGGUAUAGGUUGUGAAAUUGAUAAAGCCAAUAAUUUCAGUUUGAAAUAUAAUGAUUUCUGUUGGGUUGCUCAAAUGCUUUAGCAAGAACACGAGACAGAAAAAUUGUCAAUUAAGCUUUACUAGGAUGAAGGGCGACGAUAAUUGUGUUGGUGAACGGAACUUUUCCCUUACAAAAUCUUAAAUAUUCAAUCUGCGUAUUCUUUUUAGUCCCAAAAAUAACAAUGUCAAUUCGCAUCAGUUCCCUUAUGCUUCAUUUAGUUUCAUUUUUCUCUUCUACUGUAAGAAUAAGUGCAUUUUUUUUCCUUCUUAUGUCCUUAUUUUUGGAAAUUGAGAUUUUCGAUCUCUUUUCUACCGUCUCAAAAAGUUGACAUGGCAGUCACUGUUUAUUUGGCUGGAUGCCCGGGCUUUAAUGGGCUAAAGCCAAAGCUUAUUUCAAGAUUUGUUGCUGUUUGUACCUGAUGGAUUUAUUGUUUCAAUUCAUUUCUUUUUACUUUUCAGAUUUUUUUUUCCACUUUUCUGUUUUAUAGGGCUCUUAAACUGUUUCAUGUUGUCCAUUUAAAGGCGUUUAAGAAUUGCAUUUACAUUCUUCUAUGUUUAUUUUACUUUUACUAGAUAUUGCACGUUGAAUUGUUAAAGCCAUAUGACACUUCAAGGGGACCUGGUUAGUGGUAAUUUAGUUUUGUCUUCUGUGACCUAAUUAAUUGGCCCACUGAUUAAUGGGCGGGAACAUGCUGUGCAGGUAAAAAAUGAGUCUUUGAAUAAACUGAACGAGCUUGAGGAAAUGCGUGAGAGACUAGAGGCAAGGAAAGUAGUUAUGGCAAACAUGUCAACUCGUUGCAAAGUUGCAACAGAGGAUGCUAAAAAACAGGAGGAAAUGCUUAGUACUGAAGUAAGAUCAUUGUUGGUUGCUGGUACCUCUCUUUCUGUAGCAAGGAAGCGAUUACAGGUGAAGCUUUUAUAUUCUAGCUUAAAUUAGCUUUGGAAUUUCAUUUUGAUAUUAUCAUGAAUGCUGAAUUUAUGAUAUAUUUGAAGGUUUCUUCUUAUUCAGCUUUAGAUGUUAUUUAUUCUCCUCUUGGAUCAAUAAGACCUCUCUCUUUGCACCUCCACCCCCUGUGAAGGUGGUUGAGGGGCUUAGAUGAGAUGAUUCUCAUUCUAUGAAUUCCUUUGCAUAGUCAAGGGCUAUCCCCUUCUUGCUCUCCUACUUCUUUGUCUCUUUUUUUAGAUGGUUGGUAGUCUUGCAUGCAUGGCAUGAUUGAUUAUAUGUUGUUUUUAUCACAGGAAGCAAAUAGAUUACUCACUGAAGAAAGGGGUUGUGUUAACUUAAAAAUGUGCAAAAGAAGCUUCGAGCAAGGCAACAAUAUAUGAUAUCACAAGUUUCAUUACUGUAUCCUGUAAAGAUCUUGGUUGGACCUGCACAGAAGCAAGAACUUGAGUCCUACUCUAGCAGUAGUAGAUUAGGUAAUGUGCUAGUAGUUUUGGAUUGCUAAUGCUUUGCAAUAAAGCCAACAUAUGGUCAGUGUCGUCAAGGCAUGCGCCUAGGCAUGCCUACCCCUUAGUUUUAUACAACAAAACGCCUUGUACCCAUCCAGGUGAGGUCCAUUUGAUCAAGCGCAUGCCUGGUGCACCUAGGCACACUUUUUUUGUAAGGCAAUGGGCAUUAGAAAAAGCCUGCCUUGUUGAAUUUCUCAAUAAUUUAUUUUAUUUUUCACUGUUUUCAUUUGAUAUACCUUUACUAAUAAGAAAGGGAUAAUAUCAAACUCUAUAGUUCUCAAUAUUUGAGCAUUCACCUAUAAAAAAAUUGCAAGUUUUGUGGAUAAACCAGACCACACUUUAGAGUUUACUAUAUAUCUUAAACUUUUAUGUUAUAGACACACAGACUUGCAAAAACUCUCACAUAUACGUAUUGCGCUUUACUGCACUCUGGCUAGCGCUUCCUUUUGUGCCUUGCUCUCGAGGCAAUAUAAAGGUUAGCACCUAGAAUGCGCCUUGCGCCCUAGACAACACUGCAUAUGGUUUUAAUUAGCAGCCAGUCUCCUCGUUUUGAAAUCAAUAUGUCUUUCCUGUUUAGUUUGUAGUUUAUUUUUAUAUUCUUAAUUAACAUUUAUCCUCUCACUUAUAUCAUCGAGAACCCAUUGUGAUGCUUGUUAUAUUUCCUCCUACGUUUUCUUUUUUGUUCUUGAGAUUUUGGAUGUUCAAAAUGGUUUGAGGAAAACUUUACCAACAAUAGCAGCUUCUUUCUCUUGAACAAUUCCUUCUUGCAACACGGGGAAUAUCUAUAAAUGGCAUGCCUGGAUAUGCAUAUCCUUUGAUAUCAAAUAUGGUUGGUCCAAUAUGAUGUUUUACUAGGGGAGAAUAAAAUGAGUUAUUUUGGUCAACUGGACAAGUCUUUUAUGAUUCCUAAACAGCUUAAGGAGUACCAUUACCUAUCACUUGACUCUUCUUUUGGUUAUAAUGGUUGUAUUCAGUUAUUCCUCUUUUAGCAAUCUACUAUUCAAUUCUCCUCAUAUCAAAACAAUUUUUUUUUGCUCUUGAAUAUUAUGAACUUUUUACAUAUCUCUUACUUUCAUGAUUAUAUUUUUUUGAAUUUUGUUUUGACUUCCACAAAGAGGUGGUGUCUGGUGAUGUACUGAUACGAAGUUCCUUUGUUCCUGACUUCACUAGGGAAUCCUUCUGCAUCAAAGCCCGUCAAUCAAGGAUCGUUGACGAUUUUAGGUCUGAAUCUCACCUUGCUUCCUUUUACAAAGAUGAGUUUUUUCACUGACAAAAAGGAGGUUCAGAGAUCUGCAACUGCCUUGGGAUAUGUUGCACAUGUGCGUUCUAUUUCUUCUGUGAAGUUAUCAUUUAUUACUGAAUUUGUUUUUUCUGAUAAUAUCAAGCUGUGGAUAUCAAGUUUUUUGACCUACCACCUACAAUCCCUUGUUGCUUGAAGAUGCUGUAGUAAUUUUUAAAUGCUAGGAUGGUAAUAUGGUAUAGUGGGCUGCAUCUUGAUUGUUUAUUUCUCAUGCUGAGGCUAGAAUUUUAAUCAUACCUAUUAUUGUUUCUUGUUUCCUGCCAUUUCAUCAUUUGCAGGCUGUUUCACUAAUUGCAUCCCAUUUACAAGUUCCCUUGCGUUAUCCUCUGCGCUUGGGUUCAAGACACGACAAGAGCAGCAUAUGCUGUGUUCUUGUUAAACAAGGCAAGGUUUUGCAUAGUAGUAAUUCUUUUUCCAAGAUGAAUUAUUCUCCUUUGGCAUUUUUAUGUAUAUUAUUGGAUUCAAAUGGUCUGCAAAGUUAGCUUGUCAAUGCUCUUCAAUCCACAGGUUGGAAAAACAGUGCAUGUUUGUUCGACAGCAUUUACAGCUCAUUUUAUGUCAUUGAUAGUGGAUAAUCUUGCUUCCAUCAUCAUUAAUAUCAUGGUUGAAUUGUUUGGAAGAUAUUGGAUUUACAAUAUCCAGGUUCUUGUGAUAGACACUUGAGACUAUCUAUAAACUUCACCGGUAGAUUAGGUGAAGGAUUAUCAACAAAUUUGAAAAGUGUGUGAAUUCCCACCAUGCAUCUAAAAGGAGGUCCAGCACUCGAAUCUCAUUCCCCAUAACUAAAAACUAUGUCACUGUGACUUGGUCAUAUCUCCAUAUCCAUGUUCGAAUUCGGACAUGGGUAGUUAAAGAAAAAUGAAGAGUUGAUGCAUGAUAGACUAGUUCAAAAGUGCUUUUAGAAAAAAGUGCUGUUGAAAUGUGGUGCGGAAAAGUGUGUUUGUUAAUUUUUAGUGUUGUUCAUUGCUGUCAAAAGACGCGGUUGAAAGGUAAAAUGUCUUUUUUAGACAUGAUAGUAGAAAGUAAAAAAUUAGUCAAAUUAUAUGAUAUUUAAAUAAUUUAAUAUAAUGAUACAUGAAAUAUAACUUUUAAAUACCUUUUAAGUAAUUAAUAUAAAUUAUUUGUAAAAUUGAUUAUAUAUAAAAUAUUUUGAAAAAAAUUAAAUAUAAUAAUAAAUAAGAUUUAAACAAUUUAAUAUAAUAAAAUAUAAAAUAUAAAUUAAUCUAAUUUUUAUUUACCUUUUAAAUAGUUAAUGAAAAUAAGAGUAUUUUGACAAUUUUCACUUCCAAAUGACAAAAGCCAAAAGCAGUAGGUUUUUGACUACAAAAGCUAUGUGUUCUUCAUCACUUCUGGAGUGGAAAAACACUUCUGCAGUGUAAAAACACUUUUAAUAAUUCAAAAAGGCUUUUUCACCACAGUAGAGAAUGCACCAUAAAAUUGUAAAUAGAAAAAGGAAGGACCAAACAUUUUUUCUACCCUGUUUUUGUCUCCUCUUUGAAAAUACUUUCCAAAAAGUUUUAUCUUUUUUUUUUUUUCUGUUUACAAUGCCUUGAAUGCAAAUUCCUUAUAGAAGUGCUUUCUUUUGAUCCACUUGCAUCAUUGUAAGAAGUCUGCAUUGCCUUCUAACUUUCUUUGUUGAUUAUCUUUUAUUAAGUUUUCUGUUGGAUAUUAUAGUCAAAUUCCUUUACAUCAUGUAUGUUAAUUUGCUUAGCCCUGAUAAAUGUUAGUGUUGUGCGGAAGCGUGUAAAAGAGUAAAAUUAUUGUACUAAAAAAUCACACUAAGUUCAAUUCCCAGGAAAGAGAGGUGGAUCACAAAGAUCGCUUAAGUACCAGGUCUUUCCUAGCCAGAAUAUCCCUCAAUCGUAAUUUAAUAGCACAAUAAAUCACUACAAUCACACACACAAUUCAUGCAGAAUAAUACAAUAAAGAACACAAGAAUUUAACGAGGUUCAGCAAAUUUUGCCUACGUCCUCGGGCACUACCAAAUAUAUUUCACUCCAAAAUACAAGUGAGAAUUUACAAAGAGAGAGAGAGAAAACAAUGCCUUAAGUAGAGAAUGGCAAGUUUGAGAUACAGAAUGAGAGAUGGUCAUGCUUAUUUAUAAUUGAGGUUCAGGGAUCAACUUGCAAGGUCACUUUACAAUUAGGGACCAUAUAUUGCAAAUAUCUCAGAUUUUAUUAUGCCAAUAUCUCGAUACCCAUAUCUUUGACUUUCCAAUAUUUGAUACCCAUAUUUUUGACUUUCUAUUAUUUGAUACCCAUAUAUUUGAUUUUCCAUAAAUAUGGAUAAUUCCCAAUAAUCUCCACCUUAAAGAUUUGAUUCGAGUAAUCUUAUCUUCACACAAUUCUCUCUGCCUUUGUCAACAACACUUGAUAGUGCCUUCUUCAACUGUUAAACAUGCAGAAUAUUGAUCAAGUUCAAACAAUGUUCGAACUUGAUUGUUGUUACCACCUUGGUCAUCAUAUCUGCGGGAUUAUCUGCAGUCUUAAUCUUCUGAAGGUGAAUUUUCCCCUCAUCAAUAAUUUUCCGCACAAAAUGGAAACGUACGUCGAUAUGCUUUGAACGUGCAUGAUAGACUUGAUUCUUUGCUAAAUGAAUAGCACUUUGACUAUCACAAUACACAUUAAUAUGCUCCUGAACCAAUCCCAAGGUUUUAACCAUACCUUGUAACCAAAUAGCUUCCUUUACAGCCUCUGUUACAGCCAUGUAUUCAGCUUCUGUGGUUGACAACGCAACUGUAGACUGCAGUGUAGACUUCCAACUUAUUGGUCCUCCAGCAAGAGUAAACACAUAACCAGUGGUUGAUCUUCGUUUGUCCAAAUCACCGGCAUAAUCAGAAUCAACGUACCCAACAACACAUUUACCAAGUAUAGUAUCCUGCUUGAACAAUAAUCCAAUAUCCAUGGUCUUAUGAAUAUACCGUAGAAUCCAUUUCACAGCUUGCCAAUGUCCUUUUCCAGGAUUAUGCAUAUACCUGCUCACUAUACUAACUGCCUGUGAAAUGUCGGGUCUUGUACACACCAUUGCAUACAUCAAGCUACCUACUUCAUUAGAAUACGGAACUUGUAACAUGUAUUCUUUUUCCGUAUUUGUCGAAGGAGAUAGUUGUGCAGAAAGCUUGAAAUGAGAAGCCAACGAAGUACUUACAGCUUUAGUCUGCUCGUUCAUGCCAAACUUCUGUAGUAUCUUCUUUAAAUAUUGCUUCUGAGACAAACUAACUCUGCCAUGAGCUCUAUCCCUACAUAUUUCCAUGCCAAGGAUCUUCUUAGCUUCACCUAGAUCUUUCAUCUCAAACUCAAGGUUGAGUUGAGUCUUCAAUCUCUCAAUGUCAACUUUACUCUUAAAUGCUAUCAACAUAUCAUCAACAUAUAAGAGCAAGUAUACGAAAAAUCCUUCUUGUAGCUUCUGAAAAUACACGCAAUGAUCAAAUNNNNNNNNNNNNNNNNNNNNNNNNNNNNNNNNNNNNNNNNNNNNNNNNNNNNNNNNNNNNNNNNNNNNNNNNNNNNNNNNNNNNNNNNNNNNNNNNNNNNNNNNNNNNNNNNNNNNNNNNNNNNNNNNNNNNNNNNNNNNNNNNNNNNNNNNNNNNNNNNNNNNNNNNNNNNNNNNNNNNNNNNNNNNNNNNNNNNNNNNNNNNNNNNNNNNNNNNNNNNNNNNNNNNNNNNNNNNNNNNNNNNNNNNNNNNNNNNNNNNNNNNNNNNNNNNNNNNNNNNNNNNNNNNNNNNNNNNNNNNNNNNNNNNNNNNNNNNNNNNNNNNNNNNNNNNNNNNNNNNNNNNNNNNNNNNNNNNNNNNNNNNNNNNNNNNNNNNNNNNNNNNNNNNNNNNNNNNNNNNNNNNNNNNNNNNNNNNNNNNNNNNNNNNNNNNNNNNNNNNNNNNNNNNNNNNNNNNNNNNNNNNNNNNNNNNNNNNNNNNNNNNNNNNNNNNNNNNNNNNNNNNNNNNNNNNNNNNNNNNNNNNNNNNNNNNNNNNNNNNNNNNNNNNNNNNNNNNNNNNNNNNNNNNNNNNNNNNNNNNNNNNNNNNNNNNNNNNNNNNNNNNNNNNNNNNNNNNNNNNNNNNNNNGAAUCAUGUUGCUGUAAAAGUUCUUGGGUCGAAACUUCUUCAUCAUUUGUUCCUUCAAUAUUAGCUGGAUCAUCAUUAACCUUUUCAAGCUCCACCUGUUGCAAAGUGCCAUUGGUUGUGUAUCCUUUUGUGAAUCAUUGUUCUUCAUCAUGGUUGAUUCAUCAAAAGUCACAUCUCUACUGAAAAUUAUUUUCCUUGUAUCAGGACACCAGAGACGGUAUCCUUUUACUCCACCAGUUAUACCCAUGAAUAAUGCUUUCUUUGCUCUUGGGUCUAACUUAGAUUCUUUUACAUGAUAAUAUGCAGUGGAACCAAAAUCAUGUAAAGAAUCAUAAUCAGUAGCAGGUUUACCAGCCCACCUCUCCAUAGGAGUUUUUCCAUUUAUUGCAGCUGAUGGCAACCGAUUAAUUAGAUGGCACGCAUAUGUAACUGCCUCAGCCCAAAAUUAUUUGCCCAAUCCAGCAUUGGACAACAUACAUCGAACUUUCUUCAGUAUAGUCCGAUUCAUACGUUCUGCCACCCCAUUCUGUUGUGGUGUAUCUCGAACAGUGAAGUGUCGUACAAUACCUUCAUCGUGACAUACAGAUCAUUCUUGUACUCAAUACCAUUGUCUGAUCGAAGUCGUUUGACUUUUCGACCAGUCUGGGUCUCCACCAUCUUCUUCCAUUUCAGAAAUACAUCCAAAACUUUAUUUUUCCUUUUCAUUAGAUACACCCAUACUUUUCUUGAAUAAUCAUCAACAAAAGUAACAAAAUAGUGCAUACCUCCCAAAGAAGCCACUUUAGUAGGUCCCCACACNNNNNNNNNNNNNNNNNNNNNNNNNNNNNNNNNNNNNNNNNNNNNNNNNNNNNNNNNNNNNNNNNNNNNNNNNNNNNNNNNNNNNNNNNNNNNNNNNNNNNNNNNNNNNNNNNNNNNNNNNNNNNNNNNNNNNNNNNNNNNNNNNNNUUGCAAAGCUUUUUCACCAGCAUGUCCCAAUCGCAUAUGCCAUAACCUGGUAGCCUCUGAAUCUGCAUCUUUCGUAGAAGCUGUUGAUGUUGAUCCAAUAACUAUACUUCCAUUUAAAUAAUACAGAUUAUUCCUUCUUGUGCCUUUCAUCACCGUCAAUACCCCAGCUACUACCUUUAGUAAUCCAUCUCUCAAAGUGAUUGUGAGCCCUUUAGAUUCUAGGACCCCUAAUGAGAUAAGAUUUUUCUUCAAGCUAGGUAUGUAGCGAACAUCUGUCAAGACUUGAAUUGAGCCGUCGUGAUUCUUCAAUUGGAUUGUACCUACUCCCAUUGUCUUACAAGCGCUAUCAUUGCCCAUAAAAACAACUCCACCUUCUAGUUCUUUAAGACUAGAAAACCAGUCCUUAUUAGGACACAUAUGGUAUGUACAUCCCGAAUCCAAAAUCCACUCAUCUGUAUGACAUGCCAUUGCCAUGCCAACCAAGCUAAAGUCUGACUCCUCAUCAUGCUCUGCUACACAUGCAUCAGAAAUAGCUUUACCCUUUUGUAACUUAGGACAAUUCUUUUUCCAAUGCCCUUUCUCACGACAAAAAGCACAUUCAUCUUUGGCAGGUCUCCCUUUGGACUUACUCCUUCUACCAGAUUUGUUGCUGCGCGAACGACCUCUUACUGUUAAGACUUCUGUAGUUGUAUCUCUGUGAUCUUUUUUAUCUUUCUUUCGAGUCUCAGAUCUAUACAACGCACUACAGACUGCAUCAAAUGUGAUUGUAUCCUUCCCAUGAAGCAAUGUGGUGGUAAGAUGAUCAUAUUCAUCAGGAAGAGAAUUCAACAACAGUAAUGCCUUGUCUUCAUCUUCAAAUUUCUCAUCCAAAUUUAGCAAGUCUGCUAAAAUUUUAUUGAAUGAGUUCACAUGGUCAUUCAUCGGCAUACCGGGUGCAUACGUGAAUCGAUAAAGUUUUUUUUCAUAUAAAGCCUAUUUUCAAGACUUUUUGUUAGAAACUUUUCUUCCAGUGUAUCCCACAACUUCUUCGCUGAUGUCUCCCUCAUGACAGAGUACUUCUGCUAUUUGGCCAAACAUAGGCGAAUUUUUCCACAUGCCUGUCUAUUGAUCUUGGCCCACUCCUUGUCAUCCAUCUUCUCAGGUUUUUCUUCAAGGGCUAUAUCCAGCUCUUGCUGACAUAAGACAUCCAGGAUCUCACAUUGCCACAUAUCAAAAUUAUUGGUACCAUCAAAUUUCUCUACUUCAAAUUUCGCAUUGGUCACAGUAGUCUUUAUUGAUGACGAUGCCUUUUCCAUUUUUUCUCCUCAAUCCCAACUACAGUACGUGAACAGUACUGUGAACGAUCGUAUUCCCCAAGUACGAAUGUAGCUCUGAUACCAAUUGUUGUGCGGAAGCGUGUAAAAGAGUAAAAUUAUUGUACUAAAAAAUCACACUAAGUUCAAUUCCCAGGAAAAAGAGGUGGAUCACAAGGAUCGCUUAAGUACCAGGUCUUUCCUAGCCAGAAUAUCCCUCAAUCAUAAUUUAAUAGCACAAUAAAUCACUACAAUCACACACACAAUUCAUGCAGAAUAAUACAAUAAAGAACACAAGAAUUUAACGAGGUUCAGCAAAUUUUGCCUACGUCCUCAGGCACUACCAAAUAUAUUUCACUCCAAAAUACAAGUGAGAAUUUACAAAGAGAGAGAGAAAACAAUGCCUUAAGUAGAGAAUGGCAAGUUUGAGAUACAGAAUGAGAGAUGGUCAUGAUUAUUUAUAGUUGAGGUUCAGGGAUCAACUUGCAAAGUCACUUUACAAUUAGGGACCAUAUAUUGCAAAUAUCUCAGAUUUUAUUAUGCCAAUAUCUCGAUAUCCAUAUCUUUGACUUUCUAAUAUUUGAUACCCAUAUCUUUGACUUUCCAAUAUUUGAUACCCAUAUCUUUGACUUUCUAUUAUUUGAUACCCAUAUCUUUGAUUUUCCAUAAAUAUGGAUAAUUCCCAAUAGUUAGAUAUAGGGUUGUCAGCUAAUUAGGAAAGACUGUGAUGAUAGUCACACCUUACAUCCAAACGCAAAGCUUUUUACAUGUGUAUGUAAGGUUGCUAAGCAAAUCUGAUGAGCCUUCACUGAUGUUUUAAGGUUAAGUUAAUGUUCCUUUUCUGCAAAGAACAUUAUCGAGAUCACAGUAUUUUGAUCGCCUUUUGCUUGUUAUGUUAUUCGUUCUGAAACGAUUGUCUAAUCUUUACCGCGAUUGCAGGAUAUAGAGUAAUUUUUGAAUUUCAUCGGUGUAAAGAGUUUAGGACCUCGACAAGUUCUUGCAAAUUUGAAGGAGCUUCUAAGGUCUGUCCAGUCUUCAGAAUAUAUAGAUACCUGAAUUAAUUUUGAUUUUGUAGGAUCAACUAUAAUUUUGACCUUCUUCACACACGGCACGUGCGGAUUUUUUACCAAUCCCAUUUCAUUAAAGAAAAAAAAGAGCUUUAAAAAAGGAUCACACUUUUUUGUUGUUUACAGAAUCAUAAUGUUAAUUAGAGUGGAAUAUUUCAAAUUUCUGAUGAUGAGAAUAUUCUUGAGUAUUGCAGUAAAAAAUUGGGUGUGGAACUUAUUUGAAACUUUGAAUGUAUGUUUUGUUGGUGAGAAUAUAAAGUUGAUAAAGAUUUGGUAAAAAGAAUAAAAUACUAUUUUUUAUUACAAAAUUAUUUGAUACCCUGCCAAUCGAGUUAUAAUUAUCAUGACACAAUAUUAAAGGUAAUUAAAACAUGUCAUAUUACAAAUAAUAAAAUUAUAACGACUCAAAUAUACGAACAUGCCAAAAUUUAUGUACAACGAAUUAUUAACAUGUAAAUGUAUAAUACGGUACAAAAAAUAAGAUAAUUUCUUUUUUUUGUAAUUGAAUUGUUAUAACACAUUAUACAAAAUACAUUGUGAAUUAAAGCAUAAUAUGAACAUGAUAUCAAUAUAUCAAAUUUUUUAAAAAUUCGAUCAUACGAAUAAUUAUGUAAAAUAUAACAUGAUACAAAAUGACUUGAGAGGAAAAGAGGAAUGUAGACUUGCAUUGUUUGUGAGGUUUUAAAAUAUUCCAGUUUUAGAUUCAAUUUUCUAGUAUUUUUGGUUUAAUUUUACAUUAGAUUUUCUUUUCAGUAUGCACUAGUAAACGCUUGGUAGUCACUUUAAUUUAAUUUAAAGAGAUAUUGCAUAUACAUAAUAAAUUUCAUAGAAGAAAAAAGAAAUAGAUGGUUGAAAAUGAUAAAAUCGUAAGAUAAAAGAGCUUUUAUUCAAAAUGCAAAAAUGAACAAAAUAUUCAUUAUCGCUCAACUUAGCAUAAUUAAACAUUUAGGUGUGGAAAUCAAAUCACAAUUUGAGUAGCUAAACAUAUCGCUUGAAAAUGUGAUAAGUAAGAAACUUGCCCACAUUUGAGUAGCGACAGGUGGUGAUGCAUUUCCCAACGAGAGAAAACCAAGCUCUUCGCCAGUAUGGAUUUAUGUAGAGGACAACAAAAAUUGUCAACAAAGCAACUACAAAAGAAACCAAAA